UUUUUUUUUUCGUUUUUUUUCUUAUUUUCUUUCUCUUUCCAUUUUACUUUUCAAGUUUACUUUAUUUGUAAAAAAUAGAAAUAUUAAAAAUGUUCAUGUUAUAAUUUUUGAAAUUUUAUUCUGAAAUUUAAAAAAUAUUUGCAUUUUUAUUCAAUGAAUUAGUUCAUAAAUUUAUUUUUUAAUGAAUGUUCAGAAAAUAAAAAAUGUUUGCAUUUUGUAGAUUUUGUACAUAUUUUAGAAAAAUGUUCCUAUUUUGAAAUUUUGUUCAGAAAUUCCUAAAAGAUUUAAAAUUUGAAAUUUUUAUUCGCUUCUUUAGAAAAUAUAGAAUUAUAAAUUUUAGAUGUUCUCAUUUUCUAAAAAGAAGAAAUUGUUCCAACUUUCAAUGGCAAAUGUUCCAACUUGUUUGCAAAUUUAGAAAAUGUUUGUAACCUGAUAUUUUAUAAUUUUUGAAAAAUGUUCUUUUUUUACAAAGUGUUCUAAAUUUUUAAAGUUUGUUGGUUUUCAAACUUCGUUCAUAAAUUCAACAAAUGUUCUGAAUUUUCAAAAAUUGUUUUUGAAAUUAAUUAAUUUUUUGCUUUAAAUUAGAAAAGAGACGGAAGAUGAAAAGAAAAACGAAUAAAAAAGGAAAUAAGCAGAAAAGGAAAAAAAAGAAAAAAAGGAAAUUAUCAGAUUUUUUGAUUAAAAAAAAGACAGCUAGGCCGGUCCUGUCGGGUCACCCCAACUGUGCGGCGUGCGGCUCCUUGCCGCAGCUAGCGGCAAAUAGGAGCUUCCGGCAUCCAAUGGUGGCAUGGUAGAAUCUCACUUAGACAACUGUAUAACUGUAUGUUACCCUUUAGGUGGUCUAAAUAUAUAUAUAUAUUUAUUUAUUUAUUUUCAACAAGUUUGGAGAAAAAUAUACUCCCUCCGUUAAGAAAUAUAAGAGCGUUUAGAUCACUGGGAGUAUUAACAUGUACAAUACCAAAUCAAUACCAUCGGAUUCAACAUUGCAUACAUUUUCACAUUAUAUAAAUUUGUUACUGUAAAUGUUCAUAUGGUUUUGCACAAAGGUGAAAAUUUAUAAAGUUUGACUUCAGUCAAUGCUAAUAUGGAGAGUAAAUAAAAUGGAGGGAAUAUGUAAGAGAAAAUCCUUAGGAGCAACUUACACGUAUUUGGUUGCCCGCAUGAGGCCCCACCAGGCUCGCACAAGAAUGUUUGGUUGUCUAGACUGAAUCCAUUUCUCAGACCGCAUGAAACUUAAAGCACAUUGGGCCUAUCCGUGAGGGAACGAUUGAGUCAAUGGUUUUUGGCGAUUAGGCUUGCUCAAGCCAUGCGUGCCCGUUCGUUGCAUGCAUCGGGAUGUGUUGUUCGUUGCAUGCACCGGGAUGUGCUGAAGACAGAGAGACGUCUCAUAACACCCCAUUCACACCGCUCUCUCUCUCUAUCCUCGUCGUCCGUUUGGCCUCCUAUCCGAUGGCACAACCGCCGUUGUGUCGCCCAUCACACCCUUAUCAUCAUCGACAGGAAUACAAUCCAAGACCAAUGGCUGGCCGACCUCUCCAACAGCGGCAUUGACCUCAUGGCUGCCAUUAGCGCGCCCUCUUCUUUUUUGCACCUAGCCACGUCCUUCGGGCAAUGUCAUGUCAGCCGUUCCGCAUCUGCCUUCAUAUUCGGACCUACAAGUCCCGGGUUCAACUGUCAUGACAACAUUAGUGCAGGUUAUUUCCCCCCCUCCAUUCGCGGGGUUUUCUUCAUGGAGCGUGACAGGGCCAUGGACGACAAUGCCCUCUUCCUAUACCUCGCGUGUCACCAGAAGCAACCAAAACCGCAUCGAUGAUGGCCCUGAGAAUGGCCAGGUCAUCCUCUUCGGACGGCCCCAUGUUGUUGCGAGGCUUGUCUCCUCGGUCGGCCUACGAUUCAACGGCAACCACUCUGGUAAGUUCCAUUGUUUUCCCUUUUCUCGUAGAUAUAGUUUAGGGUUUGUGCUUAGUGAGUACUACUAGGCAUGGAUUGAAUUUGACACGAACCGGUUCGAUUUGAAUAGAAACGAAUUUAUUGACCGACAUUGUAGAUGUGGACUGCCUCAUGUGUGGAUGUAAAAUUGUUGCAUGAUCAUGUGUUCGUGUUGGAUUGUUUACAGGAUAUGGCAUUCAACCUGCGCGUUUGAGACGCUCGUCUGGAUUGGUUUUUUGAAUGAUCAGUGAACGAGUGUUGAAGAAUCACACUGAGCGUCCAAGAACAAGUGUCCAAUUUCUACUCAGCGCACCUCACUUUAUUUUUUAGUUAUAACAAGGCAUUUAGUUAGGCCCAUGGAGGCGCACACACACGACGUGAGCACGCUAACCGACCUGACCUAACCCCAGACCCGACCCAGAGCCCAAAGGGAACCCGACCACGCACGUUGCCACCCCCAUCCCCUCUCUCGAUGUCUCCCGGAUCGACGGACCGACCUCCAAUGAGCACAGCAUACCGAAGUGACAUACCGAUGGAUUGAGAUGAAAGAGAGGAUGCCUUUCUUCCAAGGCAUCCCCAAGCUUAGACACUUGAAUCUUCCUAAAAUUUUACCUUGGGGUUCUUUGGGCAUCCCAAGCUUAAGAUCUUGCGGCUCCUCAUUCCAUUUUCCAUCGCAAUAACAUCCAAAACUUGAAAACUUCAAUCACACAAAACUCAACAAAACUUCGUGAGAUCCGUUAGUAUAAGCAACAUAUCAACUACGUAGGUACUUUUGUAAAUUUAUUCAUAUUUAAUUAUUGCAUAAUAGGUAUUGUACUAUAACUUCUCCAUGGCUUAUACCCUCAUACAAUCUAUAGCAUCAUCAAAACAAGCAAACUAUGCAAGCAAAAAUAGGAUAUGUCUAAAACAGAAGAGCCUUUAGUGAUCUGUAAUGAACCUAUACUUCUAUAACUCCAAAAAUUCUGAAAACUUAGGAUGACCUGAGGAAUUUGUAUAGAAAUACUGUGUAAAAAAUUUAGCUUAACAAGACGUUCCAAUCAAAUCAGAGAAAUUAUGCACUCUACGUUAAAGUUUCUAUUUUUGCACCGUAUUAGUUAUGCUUAUCAUACAAAUCAUCCCAAAGACUUUACUUGGCACAAACGCUAAUUUAAACAUAAAAACACAAUCAUUAAAGAGGCAAUAAUCAUGCCAUCACAUCAAGACAAAAGAAAAAAGCAAAAAAUAAGAUAACUAUUGGGUUGUCUCCCAACAAGCGCUAUUGUUUUAUGCCCCUAACUAGGUAUAAUGCAUAUGAUCGAGUGUUAUCAUAUUUGACACUCAACCCAUAAGUACCCCCUCAUGAUAGAUUCAUAAGGUGUUUUUAUUCUCUUUCUACGGAAGUGUUCCAUCAUUUUCUUUAAUGGAAUUUGGAACCUUAUGUUUCCCAUUUUCAUAUCAAUAAUUACACAUAUAGUUCGUAGGAAAGGUCUUCCAAGUAUAAUUGGACAAGUAGAAUUGCAAUCAAUAUCAAAAACAAUGAAAUCUACAUGCACAUAAAUUUUAUUCGCAAUAAUGAGAACACCAUUAGUUCUACCUAAGGGUUUUUUAACGGCAGAAUCCACAAGAUGCAAGUUUAGGGAACACUCUUGAAUAUUAGUGAGACCAAGCACGUCACAAAGAGAUUUAGAUAUUGUUGAAACACUGGCACCAAGGUCACACAAAGCAUUGCAUUCAUAUUUAUUUAUCUUUAUUUUGAUAGUAGGUUCUCACUCAUCAUGCAAUUUUGUGGGAAUAGAAACUUCAAGUUCAAGAUUCUCAUCAUAUGCUUUUAUCAUCGCUUUCACUAUAUGAUUAGUGAAAGUCUUGUUUUAUUCAUAAGCAUUGGGCGAGAUAAUAAUGGUUUGUAACAAGGAAAUACAUUAUAUUAAAGAGCAACUUUCAUAAUUAAACUCCUUAUAAUCCAAGAUAGCGGGCGCAUCACUAGUUAAAGUUUUGACCUCUCCAAACCCAUUUUUAAUUUUAGCAUUAGAAUCAUCACCCUCCAAGAAAAUGGGAUGCUCUCUAGCUAAAUUUGACUCAUCUCCAGUCCCUUUAUCAUUAGCAUUCAUAGACGUAAAUAAAGAUUCAAUAGAAGAAGUGCCAAUCAUUUUAAGAUCUUCAUCAUGAUUUCGGUAAAAAACGAGUGGAAGAGCUUUUUCUAGGAAUUGUUGGAAAUAUGCCCUAAAGGCAAUGAUAAAUAGUUAUUAUUAUAUUUCCUGUUACAAAGAUAAUCAUUUAUUAUCCAUGCUGUAAUUGUAUUGAAUGAAAACAUAGAUACAUGUGUGGAUACAUAGACAAAAUAAUGUCCCUAGCAAGCCUCUAGUUGGCUAGCCAGUUGACCAAUGAUAGUCAAGGUUUUCUGACUAUGUGCAAGUGUUGUUGCUUGGUAAUUGGAUUACAUCAUUAGAAGAAUCAUGUGACGGACUAGACCCAAACUAUGAACGUAGCAUAUUGAUCGUGCCGUUUUAUUGCUAUUGUUUUCUGCGUGUCAAGUAUUUAUUCCUAUGACCAUGAGAUCGUAUAACUCACUGGCACCGGAGGAAUACCUUGUGUGCAUCAAACGUCGCAACGUAACUGGGUGACUAUAAAGGUGUUCUACAGGUAUCUUCGAAGGUGUCCAUUGAGUUAGUAUGGAUCAAGACUGAGAUUUGUCACUCCGUGUGACGGAGAGGUAUCUCGGGGCCCACUCGGUAAUGCAACAUCACACACAAGCCUUGCAAGCAAUGUGACUAAGUGUAAGUCACGGGAUCUUGUAUUACGAAACGAGUAAAGAGACUUGCCGGUAACGAGAUUGAAAUAGGUAUCCGGAUACCGACGAUCGAAUCUCGGGCAAGUAACAUACCGAAGGACAAAGGAAAUGCCAUGCGGGAUUAUAUGAAUCCUUGACACUAAGGUUCAACCGAUAAGAUCUUCGGAGAAUAUGUAGGAUCCAAUAUGGGCAUCCAGGUCCCGCUAUUGGAUAUNNNNNNNNNNGCCUCAGGUCAUGUCUACAUAGUUCUUGAACCCGCAGGGUCUGCACACUUAAGGUUCGGCGAUGUUUUAGUAUAGUUGAGUUAUAUGUGUGGUUACCGAAUGUUGUUCCGAGUAUCAGAUGAGAUCAUGGACGUCAUGAGGGUUUCCGGAAUGGUCCGGAAAUGAAGAUUGAUAUAUAGGAUGGUUUCAUUUGGUCACCGAAAAGUUUCGGGCAAUUCCGGCAGUGUACCGGGAGUGACGAAUGGGUUUCGGAAGUUCACCGGGAGGGGCCCACCCACCCGGGAGUGAGCCCAAGGCCCUAGGAUGGCGCCACAAGUCCUUAGUGGGCUGGUGGAGUCAGUCCAAGAGGUCCAUGACACCACAUAAAUAAAAUACCAAAAGAAAAGAAAAACAAAAAGGAAAGAGGGAGGUGGGAAGGAAGAGGACUCCUCCUUCCCAAACCGAAUUGGAGGAGGAGUCCUCCUCCUCCCUGGCGGCCGGCGCACCCUUGAGGCCUUGUGCCUCAAGGCUAGCCCCUCCCCCCUCCUAUUAUCCUAUAUAUAGCUGUGGUUUAGGUCUUUUUGAGACACAACUUUGUCGCAUGUAACUCUAGCCUAAACUACACAGUUUCACCUCUAGAUCGGAUUUCUGCGGAGCUCGGGCGGGGUCUUGCAAGAGUAGAUCAUCACCACCACUGGAGCGCCGUCACACUGUCGGAAAACUCAUCUACUUCUCCGUCUUGCUUGCUGGAUCAAGAAGGUCGAGAUCAUCGUCGAGCUGUACGUGUGCUGAACGCGGAGGUGCUGUCCGUUCGGGGCUAGAUCGGAACGGAUCGUGGGACGGAUCGCGGGACGGUUCGUGGGACGGUUCGUGGGACGUGAAGACGUUCCACUACAUCAACCGCUUUUCUUAACGCUUCCUGCUGCGCGAUCUAAAGGGUACGUAGAUCCAAAUCUCCACUCGUAGAUGGGCAUCAUCAUGAUAGGUCUUCGUGUGCGUAGGAAAUUUUUUGUUUCCCAUGCAACGUUCCCCAACAGGAAUUCCCGCCUAGCUUUCAUUAGCGGUCCUCUCCCUACUUUCAUUCAUAGAUAUUUGGAUAGAUUUAAUAGUCUCAUUAAAACCAUGCUUGUGUGGCAAAGCUUUACUUUUAAGAGUUUCUACAUCAAGAGCAAUUCUAUCCGUGUUUAUAGCCAAAGUAUCGAUCGUAUGCAUCUUUUCCUCUACCAUAAUAUUAAAAACUUUUUGAGAAUUAAUGAAUUCUUUAAUGGUAUUUUCAAGAUCAGAGGAGAACUUAUUAUUGUUGGUAGAAGGAUUUUCAUAAGAAUUGCCAUAAGAAUUACCACAAGAUCUCUGGAUUUGACACUCUUUCUUCGUCAUGGACGUAUCUCAUAAUGAUAUCAAUAUGCUCCAGGCUCUCCGGUGUUUGCUAAGAUGGCAGAAGGCAAUUGUCCGUAGGCCAAUGUUAAGAUCAAUGGCCACCAAUAUAGCAAUGGAUACUAUCUAGCUGACGGUAUCUAUCAUCAGUGGCCUACUCUUGUAAAGACAAUCUCCAAUCCUAUAGGAGAGAAGAGAAAGAGAUUGCACAAGAGAAAGAGAGUGUUUGCAAAGAUGUAGAGCGUGUCUUUGACGUUCUUCAAUCUCGAUGGAGGCAUGGUUCAAUACCCCGCUGGAACUUAGAGUACCAAAAAGUUGUGAGAGGUACUAUUAGAGUUGAAAUGAUACUACUAUAUUUCUUUUACGGAGACACGCUCUCGGCACACACACGUGGUGACGUGAGGACGCGAACCGACCUGACCUAACCCCAGACCCAGAGCCCGAAGAGAACCCGACCGCACACGUUGCCACCCCCAUCCCCUCUCUCGAAAUCUCCCGGAUCGGCGGACCGACGACCCAGCCGCAACCCCGCUGCCGUCGUCCCCACGGGCCUCCCCUCCCUCCCCCGAUUUGCCGUCGUCCCCAAGGUUCUCCUCCCCCUCAAAUACCUCCCUCCCCUCCCACUCCGCUCCCCACCACCGCCACUCACCUCCGCCUCCGCCCCCUUACCUCCACCCCACCCCACCCCCGAACCACCUCCAAACGGACGACGCAUCGGGCCUCCCCCUCCCGCCCCGCCGCCGCAUGCAGCCCCCCACCGGUCAACGCCGCGGCCCNNNNNNNNNNNNNNNNNNNNNNNNNNNNNNNNNNNNNNNNNNNNNNNNNNNNNNNNNNNNNNNNNNNNNNNNNNNNNNNNNNNNNNNNNNNNNNNNNNNNGAAUCACCGGAAUCCCGAUGCACAAGAUAUUUCGUCAAAGGUAAAACUAAUCCAGCAAGGCCGCCCGACGUGUCGACGAUCCCGAUAGGAGUCGCGUACCUCGUUCUCAGGACACGANNNNNNNNNNNNNNNNNNNNNNNNAAACUAAUCCAGCAAGACCGCCCGAUGUGUCGACGAUCCCGAUAGGAGUCGCGUACCUCGUUCUCAGGACACGACGGAUGGGUCACACUAGGAGAACCAAACCUUGGGUUGCCCCGCGGUGGCCCCGUAGUCUGCCAAUUUGGACCAACACUCAUGAGGAGCACUGGCCCGGGGUUUGAUUAAAUUAUCCUCGGGGUCCGAAAAGUCCCUAUGCAAUUUUAUUAGGUGUUUAGGCAAAUGUAGUACCAAAGUUGGGCCUUGCCAGAACAGUCUUAAUCUAAAACGAAUCAUCAAGGGGGUCCCAAUAACAACCCCGAUCGUGUUAGGAGCGCUCAUUUAAGGAACAUAACACCGGUAGCCGAAAACUAAGGGGGCAAAGGUGGAACAAAACACCAGGCUAGAAAGGCCGAGCCUUCCACCUUUUACCAAGUAUAUAGGUGCAUUAAAUUAAAUAGCAUUCAAUAUGGUGAUAUAACAGGGAACUCAUGCUUUCACAUGGAAGCAUCUGCACCUGCAACUAGCAACGCUAUCAACAGGGUUAAGCAAGCAGUAACAUAGUCAAUCAGUGGUUUGCUAGGUUGAAUAGGUUGAAGGUUUCAUGGCAUUGUUGACAGGCUAAUAUUUAACAUGUGGUAGGCAACGAGACAUAAACGGUAGCAACGGUAAAACUAGCAUGGCAAUGAUAAUAAUGGUAUCUGGGGGAAAUGGUCAUCUUGCCUGAGAUCUCGCUUGGAAGAAGAAUGCCUCCGUGAAGCAGACGAACCGAUGUAGUCGAACGGGUCCUCACAAUCCGACACGCUGCGGAACUCUAUCGAGAUGAAGCAAAUUGGAAACACAAAUCAACACACGGAAUUCACCACACGAUGCACACCACAAAUGAUGCAUGAGCAUCUGAAAACAUGCAAGUCACGGCAUGACAAUCCACACAAUCAAACACUACACAUUUAGUGAAGUUCAAUAUGCAACGAGUUACAUAUUGACAAAACUCCACAUACGGAUUAUUUAGUUNNNNNNNNNNNNNNNNNNNNNNNNNNNNNNNNNNNNNNNNNNNNNNNNNNNNNNNNNNNNNNNNNNNNNNNNNNNNNNNNNNNNNNNNNNNNNNNNNNNNUGCAACGAGUUACAUAUUGACAAAACUCCACAUACGGAUUAUUUAGUUGUAUCUCGAUUAGGUACACGACAAUAUUAAAUGUUGUUAAGCAUGGCAAGAGGUGAAGCGCAAACUAAACUACCUAUCUAGGCAAUUUAAAUGAGGUCGGAAAUGACAUAUAGCACCUCCGAAACGACCUCACAUGUUAAUUUACAAUUAUGUCCAGAUCUGAACUAACACAUUUAAUUAGUUGUUAAACAGAAAAACAAAUAGGUUCACGUGAUUCUACGCGUCAUUUCAAGCAAUCUACACAUAAAGNNNNNNNNNNNNNNNNNNNNNNNNNNNNNNNNNNNNNNNNNNNNNNNNNNNNNNNNNNNNNNNNNNNNNNNNNNNNNNNNNNNNNNNNNNNNNNNNNNNNNNNNNNNNNNNNNNNNNNNNNNNNNNNNNNNNNNNNNNNNNNNNNNNNNNNNNNNNNNNNNNNNNNNNNNNNNNNNNNNNNNNNNNNNNNNNNNNNNNNNNNNNUUCAAAACAUACAAACAGCCAGAGAAAAUGAAAGUACACAAGAUUCUAAGCAAGUUUCAUGUAGGACACGAUCAAAUCGGAGCUACGGUUCAACAUAUACAAGCAAAACAAGAAAACACUACAGUCUGCCAAAAUCAGCCACAUAGCAUUUUCUACACCCCACAACUACGAGCUACACUACUCCGAUAAACUCAAGCAAGGCAUGACACGAAAGAGGGAAAGAAGCACUACUACAAACAACCAACAACAACUAGCAUGGCAUCGUGGAUCACUAGGGAAAGAAGACACAAAAUGGCAUCUCACACACUUUUUCAGACUUAGUGAAAAUUACACCUCAUGAAAGUGCAGUUUUCGAUCUGAAGCAAUAUUGUCAGUAGCAAAAUCCUAAGCUACAGGUCUCCAAAUGGCAUGAAAAUUUACAACAUGCUAGAGAAACACAAGGGCUACAACUAACUCCAUUGGACCAACCUCAAAAGAGCUACACAUCACAAGAUACAAGCAAGACAAGACAACAAUAAAAUAUAACAGAUUUCAGACUUAGAAAUAUUUCAGCACCUCCAAAUCAGAACUAUUUCUAGCAACUUGAGAACAAGCAAACCACACCUAAACAUGCAUUUCUAUUGCAACCAAAAAUACCNNNNNNNNNNNNNNNNNNNNNNNNNNNNNNNNNNNNNNNNNNNNNNNNNNNNNNNNNNNNNNNNNNNNNNNNNNNNNNNNNNNNNNNNNNNNNNNNNNNNCCCACGAGCGCUGGAGGUGCUGGGCCUUAGACGGCAUGGAGCGCGGCGCGGGCGCUGGGCCUAGGGCGCUCGGCCCAGGCGCGCUGGGGGCGGCCCACGUGGUGGUGCGCGCUGGUCAACGCGGGGGCGAGCAGAUCGGGGCUCUCGAUCCGAUCGGCAUGGGGAGGCGACGGGGCGAAGCAGGGACGGCGACGCGGUCCUGGCGACGGGGCAAGCUGGGUAGGCGGCGCCGGCGGCUGGGGCGAGGACCCGUGGAGCUCGGGCUCCUCCCGCUCAGGAACGGGGAAGCGCACGGCACGGCGGCCUGCAGCUCCGGGGACAGCAGGUGGCGGCAGCAGCAGGUCUCCGUCCUCCAGCACGACGGCUCUCCGGCGAGGUCCGGCCGGGCUGGGUCAUGGCGGCGGCCGGCAGCGGAGGGAUCUGCUCAGGUCACCUCGGCGAGGGGCUGGCAGCGGAGGUGCGGCGGCGGGAAUGGCCGGCGGCGCUGGGCACGGGAGGCAGGAGCGCGGGCGCAGGGAGAGUGGGGCGGUGGCGCGAUGGGCUCGGCGGGCCGGUUGCGGGCUCGGCGGGCCCGGUGGCUGGUGGGUGGUGGGAGAGAGAGAGGGGCUAGGGUUAGCUACGCAUGGAUUUCGAGGGAGAGAGAGGGGGCUGUCUAAAAAUAAGGUGGAGGGGUAUUUAUAGAGAAAAGAGGGGCUCGAUUAACCGGAAUCGCGUUCUGGAUCCAACCGUGCGGUCGGAUUCGGACGAUUCCGCACGCGGGAAUGGGCACGUGGCCGUGUAGGGGGAUAUCCGGAGACAAGAGGGAGAACGGGCGGCGUGGAAACGAAUUUUAAAACACCGACACACGUCCGACGGUAGACCGAAUACGAUGCCGCUACGGUCGACCGUUCGGGUACCGGACGAACUCCGAUCGCGACGAAAUUCGACAGGCGGUCUAGCUAUAACUACUCACGACCGCGUGCCAAGUUUCACCUCGAUCAGAGAAAGUUUUACGCAUACUUUUAAAACAGGGUUCGAACGAAGCCGCGGGCGCGUGCGUGUGCGGUCGGGCUCAGAACGGACAACGAAGCGAACCGGCAACUAACAACGGAUGCAAGUUUUGAAAACGGGCGGCAACGGAGAUGUCAAUGCAAUGCAGAUGAUGUGCAUGAUGUGAUGAUGAUGUGACAAAAGAAAAUAAACACACGACGAAAACGAAAAGAGAGGGGAAUCUUCUGGAACGUCGGCAUCGGGCUGUCACAACUCUCCUACACUACAAGAGGAUCUCGCCCCGAGAUCCAAGAAUGAAAGGGGGAGAGGAUGAGAAAGAACAAGGUAAAAUUUAGUCGCUUCUUGACAAACGAGUGAAACCAACGAUCCUUGAAGGUUGCAAGGAGAUGAGGAAUGACAUGAGAAAGAAGCCAGAAUUCAUGGAAAAUUUCGGCAGCACUUCGGUAGGAAAAUGGGACAAAAAAAUUCGAUAAGAUGGAAGAAAUAGACAAUAUUCAUAACAAACAACUAAAUAGAGCAAGGGAACACCAUGAUCUUGAUAGAACAACAAGAUUGACCCAAAUGAGCAACAUCACAAUGCCUCCGGAACAAUAGAAUAGGAACUAGCUCAAGCGGAAGAAGAGAAUGAAGAAAGGAAUGACAACUAUCAUCACGAUAGAAUUGAAGAGCCUCCGGGUAGAAGAAUAGAUGGAGUAGUUGGAAAACCCACAACGAAAAGAACAAGAUAGUAGUGGGCUUAUGAAAAUCGUCUCAACAAAUAUGAGGUGACAAACAACCACUAAAAGAACCAACGAUAGAUUGCGAGAAACAAGAUAUGAACAAUUAAUUACACCAAGAGGAAACAUUGAGAACUUGGAUUAAAGACAAGCACCAUAAUAGCAACAAUCCAUAGGAAAGGCUUUAGGUGAAAUCCAAACCAAGAUAGCUCAAUGAAGAAAUCAUGGGUUGAAAUAUCUCAUGAUCAUAGAAUUGGUGGGUUUAAUUAUCUCAUUCUUGAAAGGAAAUCUCUUCGAGACUCCUACACUAACAAGAAUGCUAUAAUACCACCUCAAAGGAUAAAGGAAGAACAAUUGCACAUAGAAAUGCAAGAGAAAGGAUACUUGAGGUUCUCCAACAAGAAUAUUGAAAAACAUUUGAUAAUGGAUUGAAACCUUGAUGAAUCACCAUGAAGGACCUCCGUAUAUAAAUAAAUGAUGCAACGAUAUGAAGAAUGAAAGAAUAAGAUUAUGACCUUGCCAGGAUUUAGAUGAAGCCUCACAAAGAGAUACUUGAGAAAACUUGGAACUCCGAAAAAGAAAAGAUAAGAACACUUGAGAAAAAAGGAAUUGACAUAAUGAACCACUCCGGAAGAAGAACUCAGAUUACUAUGAACAAGAAUAAGAAUUAUGUUAUGCUCAUCCUUCAUCAAGUUUAAUUGAUGACAAGCAACAGAUUUAGCAUACCACUUAUUCUUCUUGAAAUGAUCUUGAAGAGACACAGAGAUAAGCACCACUUGAAGCAUAAUUGAAGAAAGCACCGGUAAAAAUUCACAAUUGAAUGGGAAAACCAAGAAUUAAGGGAGAUACAAGAGAAUGAAAAGAUCUUGAGCCACCUAACAGAAAACUUGAAUAAGGCACCGGAAUAUUCGAGAGACGAACGAAGAGACACAAUUGAGAAGAAUUGCGGAUGAAAGCUGAAAGCUGAGAACGAAGAAUCUUCUAAAAUGAUGGCCUCCGAAGGACGAGAAAUAAAAACAACUCAGAGAAGCACCGAUAGCACGAAAGGGAUUACUCAUGAUUGGAGCAAAUAAGAUAAUGCCACGAAGCUAAAAUGACAAUCUUCACAAGAAUGGAGCAAGACUGAGAGAAACACUCCUUCGAAUUUGCAAGGUGAGAAUGAUGACGAGAAACAACACCAAGAAUAGCUGAGACACUCCGGAAUAAUGAAGAAUGAAAGGUUGAGCUAAAUAUGAGAAUUAAUUCGAAUAGGCCUUGGAGAAGGGAUAUGACUGAUGAAAUUCAUACUUACGUCAUAGUUGAAAAGAAUUAAAGAUCUCCGGAAGAUUAGAAGAGAUAUAUAAGAUCCUCGGAAAAACCUGUGGGUUAUGGGCCCACUCAAAGAAAUCACCGUUGACAAGAUUGCUAGAAAGAUUGAUAUAGCACCGGUACAAAUGCAGACCAGAUGAGGUUAGCACCUCAAAAUAAUUAAAAGAAUUGAAAACACGAAACUUCCGAGAUAUCUUCAACACUCCGGAUAGAAAAGAGAGGAAUGAAUAAACAAGAUAGGCUGAAAGAGUUUCCAACAUCGGAAAGAAUUUAAUGGUUGAAAAGGAUAUGAUGAUCACGGAUAACUGAAUUGAAUUCACCGGAAAAGAUAACAAGACUGAAUAAAGAUGAACACGAAGCUCCUGAGAAUCAUCACAAUGAAUCACCGGCUACGAAAGGAAGAAGAGAUAGCGGAAGCACAAUGAAAUGAAUGCGCUUGGAUGAAAUCCAAUCACCGAAGAAAAAAGGGCGGGAGGGCGGGGAAAACAAAAGACAAAUUGGGCUAGAUGAGAUGAACUCCGGAAUAAAAUGAGAGAAUGAUCUGCAACAACUGGAGAAGAUUGAAUUCAGUUGCAGAGAAGCACACCGGUUGAAUGGAAUUGAUACAACGACUCCGGUUGAAAAGAGUUGAUAAGACGAUCUGAUUGAGCAAAGAAGUUGCAUUCACAUAAAAAUAUGAGAACACAGAUUAGGAAAGAUCUGAAAUCACCACUUGACAUCGAAGCAACACGAAUUACCACAUUCAACAAAACAAAGGACGAGGCUUAUGAAACAAGCCAGAACAAACUCAUGAGAAACAUUUCGUCCGAUAUUUUCGCGGAUAGGAAUCCACUAGAUGUCGAACCCCAACCUAACAUCAUGCAUUUGUUGAAAUAUUGUAUUAUAAGCAACUACUUGAAUUCCCACCUAAGAAUUCCCGAAAUAUCUGGUCAUGCAAUCUGGUACACGGAUACAAGGAGUAAUAUCACACAACUCCUAUACUAACCCGUCACCUGUAUCACAUCCGUCAACACACAACCAGAAUCUCAGACCUUCAUCUACAACAGACCCUUGUGAUCAUAACGAUACAAAGUAUGGCAGUACUCCCGAACAAUCUGCACCAGUACUGGGGACAUCGGGGUUAUCUCGCCACUACUAGUAUUGAAGCAAUUACGAACAUCCUUCGUUCUGAGAUACUAAGAAAUCUGAAUGAUAACGAUGUGCUCAAGAAUCCCCUGGAGCUCAACUCCCCUGAGACUUAGAGCAGAUAGGAGGCACCAAGGCAGAACUCCUUCACAUUGGCAUCAUAUAGAUCUCAAAAAUAUCCGCGUGAUCCUAAAAUUUUUUUGAGUGAGAAGAGGGGUAGAAUUAAAUUAUUACGUCAAGAUUCCUCACCAGAGCAUAGAAGAGGAGAAAAAAGAAUCCUACUCUCCGAUAUAUAACUAGACUCAAAGUAGUUUUUCACUAGACUCGACUCGGCCAAGUUCGAUCAAUCAAGGGGGCUCAUAGGUCGGUACUGCUCUGAUACCAACUUGUCACGUCCAAGAUGUGACCCUAUCCUCAAUUUGGCACGAAGACCUCGUCAGGGAUAGAAGCGCNNNNNNNNNNNNNNNNNNNNNNNNNNNNNNNNNNNNNNNNNNNNNNNNNNNNNNNNNNNNNNNNNNNNNNNNNNNNNNNNNNNNNNNNNNNNNNNNNNNNUGGCCGGGGUGGCUCAUGGCGGCGGCCGGCAGCGGAGGGAGCUGCUGAGGUCACCUCAGCGAGGGGCUGGCAGCGGAGGUGCGGCGGCGGGAAUGGCCGGCGGCACUGGGCACGGGAGGCAGGAGCGCGGGCGCAGGGAGAGUGGGGCGGCGGCGCGAUGAGCUCGGCGAGCCGGUUGCGGGCUCGGCGGGCCCGAUGGCUGGUGGGUGGUGGGAGAGAGAGAGAGGGGCUAGGGUUAGCUGCGUACGGAUUUCGAGGGAGAGAGAGGGGGCUGUCUAAAAAUAAGGUGGAGGGGUAUUUAUAGAGAAAAGAGGGGCUCGGUUAACCGGAAUCGCGUUCCGGAUCCAACCGUGCGGGCGGAUUCGGACGAUUCCGCACGCGGGAAUGGGCACGUGGCCAUGUAGGGGGAUAUCCGGAGACGAGAGGGAGAACGGGUGGCGUGGCAACGAAUUUUAAAACACCGACACACGUCCGACGGUAGACCGAAUACGGUGCCGCUACGGUCGACCGUUCGGGUACCGGACGAACUCCGAUCGCGACNNNNNNNNNNNNNNNNNNNNNNNNNNNNNNNNNNNNNNNNNNNNNNNNNNNNNNNNNNNNNNNNNNNNNNNNNNNNNNNNNNNNNNNNNNNNNNNNNNNNUAUACGCAUAAAAAACGUCGAACCUUAAGUGUGCAGACCCUGAGGGUUCGAGAACCAUGUAGACAUGACCCGAGAGACUCCUCGGUCAAUAUCCAAUAGCGGGACCUGGAUGCCCAUAUUGGAUCCUACAUAUUCUACGAAGAUCUUAUCGUUUGAACCUCAGUGCCAAGGAUUCGUAUAAUCCCGUAUGUCAUUCCCUUUGUCCUUCGGUAUGUUACUUGCCCNNNNNNNNNNUGUCGAACCUUAAGUGUGCAGACCUUGCGGGUUCGAGAACUAUGUAGACAUGAUCCGAGAGACUCCUCGGUCAAUAUCCAAUAGUGGGACCUGGAUGCCCAUAUUGGAUCCUACAUAUUCUACGAAGGAUCAGUGCCAAGGAUUCAUAUAAUCCCGUAUGUCAUUCCCUUUGUCCUUCGGUAUGUUACUUGCCCAAGAUUCGAUCGUCAGUAUCCGCAUACCUAUUUCAAUCUCGUUUACCGGCAAGUCUCUUUACUCGUUCCGUAAUACAAGAUCCCGCAACUUACACUAAGUUACAUUGCUUGCAAGGCUUGUGUGUGAUGUUUUAUUACCGAGUGGGCCCCGAGAUACCUCUCCGNNNNNNNNNNNNNNNNNNNNNNNNNNNNNNNNNNNNNNNNNNNNNNNNNNNNNNNNNNNNNNNNNNNNNNNNNNNNNNNNNNNNNNNNNNNNNNNNNNNNUUCGCGGGGCGGAUCGAGGGACGUGAGGACGUUCCACUACAUCAACCGUGAUCUCUAAUCGCUUCUGCUGUACGAUCUACAAGGGUACGUAGAUCACUCAUCCCCUCNNNNNNNNNNNNNNNNNNNNNNNNNNNNNNNNNNNNNNNNNNNNNNNNNNNNNNNNNNNNNNNNNNNNNNNNNNNNNNNUCCCAACAAAGGUUUCAUGGCAUUGUUGAGAGGCUAAUAUUUAACAUGUGGUAGGCAACGAGACAUAAACGGUAGCAANNNNNNNNNNAUUUUGUUUUCCUUGCGACGUUCCUCAACAGUGGUAUCAGAGCUAGGUUCAUGCGUAGAUGUCUUCUCGAGUAGAACACAAAAGGUUUUGUGGGCGGUGAUGUGCGUUUUGCUGCCCUCCUUAGUCUUUUCUUGAUUCCGCGGUAUUGUUGGAUUGAAGCGGCUUGGACCGACAUUACUCGUACGCUUACGAGAGACUGGUUUCAUCGUUACGAGUAACCCCCUUUGCUCAAAGAUGACUGGCAAGUGACGGUUUCUCCAACUUUAGUUGAAUCGGAUUUGACCAAGGAGGUCCUUGGAUGAGGUUAAAUAGCAACUCAUAUAUCUCCGUUGUGGUGUUUGCGUAAGUAAGAUGCGGUCCUACUAGAUACCCUUGGUCACCACGUAAAACUUGCAACAACAAAAUUAGAGGACGUCUAACUUGUUUUUGCAGGGUAUGAUUGUGAUGUGAUAUGGCCAACAAUGUGAUGUGAUAUAUUGGAUGUAUGAGAUGAUCAUGUUGUAAUAGAAAUAUCGACUUGCAUGUCGAUGGUACGACAACCGGCAGGAGCCAUAGGGUUGUCUUUNNNNNNNNNNUUUUUUGUUUCCCAUGCGACGCUCCCCAAUAGCUAUUCCCUAUGCAGAUUAUUAUUAGGUGAUUAGCAAAUAGUACCAAAGUUGGAUCCUGCCGGACAAGCCUUAACACUACGCGAUUUAUCAAGGGGGUCCCCAUAACAACCCCGAACGUGUUAGGAGCGAUCAUUAUGGAAUCAAACACCGGUAACCGGUAACUAAGGCGGCAAUAACGGAACAAGACACCCGGCAAAAGGCUAGGCCUCCCGUCAUUUACCAAAUAUAUAGAUACAUUAAGUUAAAUAACAGAAAAAUAAUAUAAUUAUAUCAAGCUCAUGGCAACUCAUGAGUUAUAAACACCUGCAACUAACAAUGCUAACAUUAGUAGCUGAGCAAGCCUACCUAGCCAUGCAAAUUUGCUAGGAAAGAGUAAGGUGUUUGGGCUCAUGGCAUAUGAAGAGGCAAUAUGUUUUCAGUGGUAGGCAGCGAGCAAUAUGACGUGGAAUCGAAACUACCAUAACAAGUCUAGAUAUGGGAUCAAGGUCAUGUCAUCUUGCCUGUGAUGUCCUCAGCUUGGAAUGGUUCUGGAUCGUCCUGCACAUACUCUCCUGACUCCACGUAUUCGUUCUCCGCUCCCGGUGCUACCCAACACAAGAAUAACAUUCAAUGAACAGCAGCACCACAAAAUGCAACAAUCACACGAUGCAUGAGAUGAAAGUUGAGCAUGCACCACUAUUUCUAACACUAGCACAAGCAAGAUAAACUACAACAAGUUCCUGGACAGAACUUUGCACUAAACUAUUUGGUCAUGCAUGGGAAUGAUAUGAACAGAUGCAUCUCGUAAAAACGGUGCAAAACCAUGUAAAGAACUUUGCAAACGGAGCUACGGAUCAACGGGAAUCAACGAAACACGAUAUGAAGCCCUACGUGAAAGAUUCAUCACCACACACACCAUUGGCACAAAUCUGGUGUUCCCAGGUUGCCAAGACAUAUAUUAACCCAACAUGAAUGAAAUGUAGCAAGGUAGAACACCCCAACAACAAUUAAACACAAACUUUGAACAAAGUGGCAAAACUACGUAAUCUGCCAGUUCUGCAUCUUAGCUGUUUGUGAGCAACAUGCAACAUAGCUACAGGUCUUCAAAUACGACAAAUAAUAUAUGUGGCUGUUGCCAACCAAGAACAUACAAGCUCCAGCAAGAAUCACAGCCAAAGGAAUUAAACUCUAAAAGAUACAAGGUCACAAACUUUCCCAAAACCAUCAGUUCUCAAGGACUUAGUGAAAAUUCCUGCACCUGAGAUUCUGUUUCUGUUCUGAAGCUUUUUGACAGCAAUCAAAACACAAGUUACUGGACUCCAAAUGACUUGAAAAUUGACAGUAAGCUUCACAAACAUACCAGGUUCAAAACACUAGCACUGAACUAAGUCCAGUUCUCAACAGAAUGACUAGCACAUCUUUAUCUACAGGGGAAGAAAAUGUUUCCAGCAUUCCAGACUUAGUGAAAUUUUCAGAGUUCAAAAAUCUGGAAUUUUUCAGACACAUGCCCACUUUGUCUAGGCAUAGUUUGCACACACAUGUCACCAAGAGGUGAUUGACACCACUAUGGUGUUUAGUACAAACCCCUACCACUAACACACAACAGUUCAUGCCCUUGGGCUCCAUCUAUACCAUGGAAACAAAGCCCAAACUUUCAACACAAUGAAAAUGCACCCCAUAAGGUAUGCUUACAAGAUGACAAAUACCUAGGAGGGUUUUAUGUGCACAAUGACAAAGUGACAUGGGGGUUUGAACCCCAUGUUUGUGUCAUGCAUAUCAACAACUCCAACACACACAAUUCCUCUCAAGCACUAGCAUCAAGCUCACACAUAAGAAAACUUUAAACUAACAAGAGAGUAUGCACACCCCCACAUAUGGGCAUGUGAUGGUGCACACUCUCACAAGCAUCACUAGGGUCUUCCUAGUAUUCAUGUCAUCCUCAACAUGCAACCACCACAACAAUCCACACCCUCACAUGCUAACAUAGAUAGCUAUCUAGAACAUCACUUCACACCAAAACAUGUGACGAGGGGGAGGCACCCACACCCCACUAAAUCAAUGCAAGCAAAUAAAACUACAAGAUCACUUAGCCCACACCAAAGUUCAAUAGUUGGGGCUAUACAAGAGUGGCUAGUGCAUCUUAUCACCUCCAAGCACAACACACACAAUUGUCAAGGCACCUAGCAUCAUCCACUUAUCAAGGCUAACUCCUCUAUCACUAAGGUGCACCCACCAAAACCAUCACAAGUAUAGCAAGAUCACACAUCGCCUCUUAGUGUGCAAAACACACACAUAACUAAAUCUACCCUAUCUAUUUUAGCAGGAACAAAAACACCCCCACUGUGUAAGAGAGUUAGAUAUCAGAAGAAUUCACAAAGACUAACAAACCACUUUGUAUGGAGUUAGGGAAACAGGAAUUAAAAGGCAAGAAAAGAAAAGAAAGCAAAAAAAAAGAGUCAGGGGCUGCUGGGAGUCGAACUCAGGCCCCUGGUGUCCAGCACCACUAUCUCACCACUGCGCUGCUGCACCAGUUGUGGACAAGAGAAGAGAAAAGGCAAGGUAAGCUACCCGCAACAUAAAUCAAAACAGAAGAAUAAAAGGGCGCCGAGGGGGGGACUCGAACCCACGCCCUCCUACAGGCGCACCACGCUGGCUACCACUCGGCUAUAACACGGCUACUGACAGAGAGAAGAGUCCCGUACAGGAAUAGCACCCGAAAUCGCGCCCUGACUGAAUACUGGGAACGACAGACAAGGAACCUGACGGCUAACCUGUCCGGCGUUGCUACGCUGCACUGCCGGCGUUGAGCUCGUGCAUACGACGAUGAGAGUCGUCGAGGAGAAGAACCCGCACCUGCUGGGUACCCAUCUACGCGGGGAGGAUCCCCUGCUGCAAACCGCAAGCGCUACGCUGUCGCCCUACGUCUACCGCGACCGAGGUGACAGGAAACCCUAGCUGCCGGCGGCGAGGAGGGUUCCUCUGGCCACGGCGCUGCUGCAGAGAGGGGGAGGAAACCCUCCUCUGCGCGGCACCCCCAUAACUCUACACUACUCAGCCCCAUCCGAAACUACUGCAUCCCCAACACACUGCUAUGGAACAGGGAAGCACACGCCACGCCGGGAACGAGCCGGAUCGCGGAGGAGGAAGGAAGGAGGAGGACGCGGCCUCACCUUGGGGGAAGAUGGGGCGCCGAACGGGGAGGAGGAGCGCCGAAGGGGAGCAGGCCGUCGACGAAGAAGACUCGACUGGAGAACCGAAGGAGAGUUGGCGGGACACCGCGGGCACGGCCUAGACGAGCUCGGGUCCGGCGAUGUGGUCGGCCCCCGGGGCCCCUAGCGCCGGGAAUGGAUCGCGGGGAUCCAUCCCGAGCUCCCAGGCAUGACGACGUCGGCGAACGGAGGCGGGGCGCGACGCCACCGGCGAUGCCUACUGCUCUCUGUCUACUUCUCUCUGCUAUCUUACCUGACAGAGAAGAAGGAAGAGAGAUGGGAACGAGAUGGGUUUGGGAGAGGUGGCGGCGGCGGCUGAGGGGAGAAGAGGAACCCUAGGCUUCGGGCACGGACGCCAACGCAUCUUAUAGGGGGACCUCGACGUGCUGCUCAUGGCGCCGUCAGCUCUCUCUCUCUCUCACACGUGCUGACGGAAAGCAGACAGCGAGGGAAGGAGGAGGACGCCGUCAGGAAAGAAAGGAAAGGAGAGGCUUCGCGUGGGCUCUCUCUGGAGGGAGCAGCUGGGCCGGGAUGAGAAGGAGUCCCAUGCUGUCCAGGGCAAGGGAAUAACGCUGGAAGGGGAAUUUCUUAUUUAGCUUUAAAACACCCACAGAGAAAAUAACCCACAAAAUAAUCUACUGUGGCAAAAUUCAAAAGGAAAAAUCUGCUGGACAUAAGAAAUUAUGGCCCAAUAGGGAAAAAUAGGAAUGCAAUAUUUGGAGAUGUUUGAAAUAAAUGCAAAACAGUAAUUAACCUACUGUUUUGAGUUUAUUUGCACCUCUAAAAACCAAAGAACAAACCAGAAAAAUUGCACCCCCACAUAUGCACAUUUUUAUCUAACCACCAGACAUUUUAGAAUCAUAUUUGGGAAGAAGGAAUUUUGACAAGAAUAACAAUAGGAGGGAAAAGGAGUUUAAAAGGCAAGAGCUUAAAAAGACUAGCACUCACUCCUACAUCACCCACACCAUUAUCCCAUGCAUCACAAGGUAGUGCAAAACCACCACUUAACCCUAGCAAGAUCACAUGCACUCUCAACACCACAACACUACUCCUAGUAAAUUCAAAUGCAACAUGAUCAUGGCAUGCAAUCAUAAGGUAUGGCAAGGAAUGACAUGCUAUGCAUGCAUGCAAGGGAAGUAAGCACUAAGGAACACACAUGAAAUCAUGGCACAAAAUGACAUCAUCAAGAUCUCUGACAAAGUGGCCCCACAUGGAAGAUUACCAAAAAGAGAAAGACCUACACUUGGGGCAUUACAAACUCUCCCACACUACAAAGAAGAUCUCGACCCCGAGAUCUAAGACUGAAAGAAAUCGGGAAAUUCGGAACGGAGGUGAUCCUCGCGUUCCCACGUAGCCUCUUUAUCGGAAUGGUGUGACCACUGCACUUUGAGAAACCUGACAGACUUGUUACGGGUCUUGCGCUCAGUCGCCUCGAGAACCGCAACUGGAUGCUCGCGAUAAGAGAGGUCAGGCUGGAGAUCGAUAUCCUGAAGAUGCACAGUGCGCUCGGGGUUCUUGAAACACCUCCGAAGCUGAGAAACAUGGAACACAUCAUGGACAUUCGCAAAGGUUGACGGAAGCUCGAGCUGGUACGCGAGGUCGCCCCUCUUGCCAACCACUCUGAACGGACCAACGAAACGAGGCGCAAGCUUGCCUUUGAUGCCAAAACGCUGCAUACCCUUCAUGGGCGACACCUUGAGAUAGACAAAAUCAUGAAGCUCAAACGACAUGUCACGGUGCUUGCUAUCGUAAUAGCUCUUCUGACGGGACUGCGUUGCUCUGAGGUUGUCGCGAAUGAUCCGACGCAUCUCCUCAGCCUCUUCUAUCAUAUCAUUGCCAAGGAUCUGACGCUCGCCUGUCUGGGACCAGUUGAGCGGAGUACGGCACUUCCUGCCAUAGAGAAUCUCAAACGGAGCCUUGCCAGAGCUAGCUUGAUAACUGUUGUUAUACGAGAACUCCGCGAAAGGCAGACAGUCCUCCCACUUCAUGCCAAACGAGAUAACGCAGGCUCUCAGCAUGUCCUCGAGAACUUGAUUCACCCUCUCCACUUGACCACUAGUCUGAGGAUGGAAUGUUGUGCUGAAGCGGAUCUUCGUGCCCAUAGCAGACUGAAACGAGUUCCAGAACUUGGAAGUGAAGAUACUCCCGCGAUCUAAUGAGAUCAUCAUAGGUACAUCGUGCAACGAGACAACCCUCGAGGUGUACAACUCUGCCAGCUGAGCUGCUGAAAUGGACUCCUUGACGGGAAGGAAAUGCGCCACUUUACUCAAUUUGUCGAUGACGACGAAGAUAGCGUCAUUGCCCUUCUUGGACUUCGGAAACCCUGUGACGAAGUCCAUCUCAAUGUGAUCGAACUUCCACUCGGGAAUCGGCAAAGGCUGCAAGAGGCCCGCUGGUCUUUGAUGUUCUGCUUUCACCCUUCGACAUACAUCACACUCAUUAACGAAUUGAGAAAUUUCACGCUUCAUACGGGUCCACCAGAACGACUGCUUCAAGUCAUGGUACAUCUUGGAACUUCCCGGAUGAAUAGAAAGCAGAGAAUUAUGAGCUUCUUCCAUGAUCACCUUCCUGAGAUCACCUUUCGGGACGACAAGGCGGUCCUCGAAAAACAAAGUGUCCCUGGCAUCCACAGUGAAACACUUAUACUUGGGAAGGCUCUUUCCCACACCUAUCUUGACCUUCUUCACCAUAGUAUCAAGUAGUUGAGCUGCUCUGACCUGAUCUUCCAAGGUAGGAGAGAUCUGAAGGUUCGCAAGAAAACCCUGAGGAACCAGCUGAAGAUUGAGCUUCCUGAAAGACUCAGAAAGACCCGACUGGAGAGGUUGCAGAAUCAGACUGUUGCAAUAUGCCUUCCUGCUCAGUGCAUCUGCCACAACAUUUGCCUUGCCUGGCGUGUACUCAACACUCGGAUUAAAAUCCUGGAGCAUUUCCACCCAACGUGUUUGCCGAAGAUUCAAGUUAGGCUGAGUGAAGAUAUACUUGAGGCUCUUGUGAUCGGUGAACACUUCAACCUUACGUUUCAACAAGAGAUGUCUCCAAGUCAUCAAGGCGUGCACCACAGCUGCUAGCUUGAGAUCGUGCACAGGAUAGUUCUUCUCCGCAGGCUUCAGCUGCCUGGAGGUAUAAGCAACCACCUUCCUAUCUUGCAUCAAGAUUGCACCAAAACCCUGAAGGGAAGCAUCGCAAAAGACCUGGUACGGCUUGGAAUCAUCCGGAGGAGCCAAUACCGGAGUGGAGGUAAGCUUCUCUUUGAGUGUAUGAAAAGCCAGUUGACACUCUGGAGACCACACAUACUUGACACCCUUCUGAAGAAGACUAGAGAGCGGCUUGGCGAUUUUGGAGAAGUUCUCAACGAAUCUUCUGCAAUAUCCGGCAAGACCGAGAAAGCUUCGAAGCUGCUUCACAUUCUGCGGAGGUUCCCAUUCAACAAUGGCCUGAACCUUGGACGGAUCAACCUUAAUGCCCUCGGCAGAGAUAAUAUGCCCAAGAUACACCACUUCUUUCAGCCAGAACUCGCACUUGGAAAACUUGGCAUACAGCUUGUAUUCUCUCAGUUUAUCAAGCACCAACCUGAGAUGUUUCUCAUGUUCUUCCUCAUCCUCAGAAAAGACCAGAAUGUCAUCGAGAUAGAGCAAGACAAACUCAUUCUUGAAUGGCGAGAAAAUGUAGUUCAUCAAUCGGCAAAAAGUCGGAGGAGCAUUAGCCAGACCAAAAGACAUGACCGUAUACUCAUAUGAGCCAAAACUGGUCCUGAAUGCCGUCUUUGGAAUGUCUUCCUCACGAAUGCGAAUCUGAUGAUAGCCCAUUCUGAGAUCAAGCUUGGAGAAUACUUUAGCACCUUUCAGCUGCUCAAACAACUCAUUUAUGUUCGGAAGUGGGUAUUUGUCCUUGAUUGUCUUCUUAUUCAAUGGGCGGUAAUCGACACACAGCCGUUCCGUGCCAUCCUUCUUCUUGACAAACAGAACACCACAUCCCCACGGAGACGAGCUUGGUCUGAUCAAACCCAAACGCUCCUGCUCAUCGAGUUGCCUCUUGAGCUCCUUCAACUCUUCUGGACCCAGCUUGUACGGCCGCUUGCACACUGGCUCUGUGCCUGGCUCAAGCUCAAUGACGAACUCCACUUCACGGUGCGCCGCUCGAUCUCGUCGCGGCGAGCACGGCCGCUUGUCGGCACCGGCGGGAUCGGGACCCGGUCGGCAGAGAGGUGCCAUGCGUUGGGGAGGUGGACGUCGCUCCACGGGACCGGCAUCCUCGUCUUCCAGUAGCGCCGGCAUACCUCAGCGCUGAGGUACUGCCGGUCGCGCUGGCCGGCAGGCCUAGGGCCGAUGGUGAAGGGAGCGUUGGCCUGGCGCGGUGGCGAUGCGGCCUCCUCCUUCACGGAGCCACGGCGGCGUCCCGACGAGGAGCCAGCCUCGCGGUCGUGCUUCCCCUUGCGACCGUAAUUCCAGAGCCCCAUGGGUGCGAGGUGGCCGACCAGCGAGUUCGAGGAGGCUAGGGUUUGGCUGUCGGAUUUCGAGGACGCCGCGGGGUGGCGAUGGAAAGUGUGGACGACGACUGGUCCACGACUUCCCCAUUUAAGAAGGACCGCGACCGUUCCCUGGGCGGAUGACAGGCGGGCCCGACCGCUCGUGCGCAUUAAUGUGGGCGGGUGGGAGGUAGGUGACCGCGUGCCACACGACCCCGACGCAGACGAGCGCGCGUCCGUUUGAUGUCCGCCGCGACCCAAACCCCGCGCAAGUUUGCGCUCGAAAUGGGUCGCCCCGGACACAAAACGGACAAGAUGGGUCUAGGCCGUCUCGUGUUGGGUCAACCUGUUUGUUCCUUUUACCCCAAACAGACGAGACCGGACAGAAUGGGGUCGUGCGGUGGAGUUGGCCUAACAAACUUCUUCAUAAUACGUUAGCUCCACCCUAAAGGUUAGGAAGAAACGACUAUGCUGAUCCCCAAGGUGCGUGACCCAGUACGCAUCAUGGAUUUUCGUCCGAUCAGCUUGUGUAACGUGGCCUACAAAUCUCUCCCUAAUAAUAAAGCACCGAAGGCUUUUGUCGUCCGUCGCGGUUAUUUUGCAGAAAAACCCUUAUCAUUUUUGUUAUUCAACCCGCACUACAGUUUUAAGUCCAUGGCAGGGAGCCGGCGCUGCCCACAGGUCUCGCUUCACACCGGCGUCAGUCCACCCCGCCGUCCGCCUCGCCUUAUCGCGCGCCGAAGGACUGGAGGAGGCCACUCAACCUCCACCCUACCCCUUCCCUCACACGCCCUGCCAACCCCGCUGCUCCCUCCCCUCGCCCAUCCCAAUCUAGCAGAUCUGGAGGCGGACGGCACAGCGGGGGUCGCCGGUGACGACGAGGAAGAUAGGAGCAGGGCUUCCUCGGGAGGAUCGUGGAGGAUGAUGUCGUGGACCCUGCAGCCGCCGGGCGUGAUUUUCCCCGACCCGUGUGAUGUCCUAGAACCAGCGACGACGGCUCCAGCAGGACGAUGCAGGUGUCAAAAUCUUGCUUCAGGGGGGCAGCGGGCCAUGGGCGGCAUCGUGCUCGUGUGCGAGAUCCGUGUCUGAUUUGGAUCGAAUUGCAAUGGGACGAUGUGCACGUCAACAUCUACUAUCCGGGAUGGAGCAGCUUGACCAGGGUUGUUAUGCCAGCCUAAUCCUAGCUCAUCCACAUGCAGCACCCCGAAACUCCAUGGUGUGCACAGAGCAGCACAAUGCCACGGUCUGCAAGCCGUAUGAACAACUCCACUCAUGAUUCAAAUUAUGUAGCCGUAUAGGAUAAUCCCUUUUGUUCCGGAUUCCAUCAAUUUUCAAUAGAAUUUAGUUGCAGAUUGACCCAACUCAUCUCCAUUGCCACACAUAGAAAGGCUUAGAUUUUGAUUUUGGUUCAGUUAAUUUAGAUUUUCAUUGUUCCAAUUUUGACUUUUGUUCAGUUUUGGUCAGGUUUUCAUUAUUUUUCACUUGAAUUCAGUUGCAGAUUGAUCCAACUCAUCUCCAUUGCCAUGCAUAGAAAGGCUUAGAUUUAUUUUGGGGUCAGUUUAGUUCAGAUUUUCAUUAUUUUAUAGCUGGGUUCAGUUUCCCACUCAUCGAACUCAUCUAUGAACACAAUGAUCCAGUGUCUCUCUCUCUCUAUUUGAGUGCAUGUGCAUCGUUGGUGAAGUAACUUGGGCAGUACUGUUUGAUACCCUUGGUGAGGGACUACUAUGGCGAGUUCGGCGUGAGCAACGAUGUCAGGGCGAGAUCAAGAACACGAAUUGAAUGGUAUGGCUUAGUACUAUUGGGCUUGGCAUUAUUUUUCCGGCAAAUUGGUGGGUUUCUAUAAGAUGAAUUAAGUGCGGCAAAUAUAUGCAUCUAAAUUAUUGUAACAUUUAGCGUCAUGUCUAAAAAUUAAAGUUCAAAACUGUCUUCCGGGAAUAUAUUUAGUUAGAAGAUGUUUCAUGCACCAAAUACACAAGAAUUAUGAUCAUAGAUGCGACGCGUUGGGCUCCCGCCGCAGCAAAGGAGCCGGAACUUGCAGCAUCAUCUACAACAACCCUCCCAACGAGCUGCAGUUAGGCCAUGUCGUUGACAAUGGCCCGACGACAACAACCAAGUAUGCCCUCCGCUCCUUGCCCUUCAGGCUGGAAUCAACAAGGCCACGUAAGCUUUAGUGUUUCACAAUUAUGGUCUACUUCAUGUUCUCCGAUCAGGUUGUAAUAAAAUAAUUAAUUAUACAUAUAAAUAUCAAAUUCUUUAGGGAAUGUUGAUGAUUUCUUCCGGAGAUUAUGUUUCUACUUGAUUAUCAAGCAAGGUGUCCGCUGGACGCAAAUAUCUCUCCUCUCUCCCUAAUAAUAAUAAAGCAAAUACUGUUUCUAUCGUCCGUCGUGGCAUUUUUGCGAAAAAGUCCCUUCAUUUUCGAGCAUUCAACCUGCAGUCCCUGAUUAAGUUAAAAAACGUUUCGUUUUUACGUAGCGCCCCAGGCUUAUCCAUUCCCGUCCUCAACCGCAGGGCUGACGGGAGAGGAGGCGAUGGAUCUCGGGGCGGGGCCUUGUCGCCGGCGACGCCAGGCCGAGGGGCGGUGUGCGGGAAGCCCGUGCGUUGUAACGGAAGAGAAAAUAACACACGCUCUGAACGCAAUAUACUUUCACAUGACAUCACAUUUGUGUUGCAGACGAUGGCCUUAGUGUUCACACAACGAAAACGCGUUUAAAUGUACGGUCACUCGGAAUAAGAUGAGAAAUAUGUUGUUUCUCCCCACAAGAUUUUCCAAAGGUGUGCAUGUGUGGUUAACGAUGUUUUCUUUCCUCUCAAUUUGAUUUUAAUUUAAUGGAUGUUUAUUGCAAUUCGUAUGGUCGCCGGAAAGAGAGAAAAAAAAGAACCGUGCACUACAGAUUAAGUUUGCAUCAAAAAUAAUAUUUAAGAAGUAUUCAACAGCUAAAACUAACAUCCUAUUUAGCAAGGGCUCCGCAACGACAUCCUCGACGAACCGCCUACCGGCCGCGUCAGCUACUUCUUCGGUUCCGUCCCGCCGCCGACGAUGACAACGGUCGACGCAGGUUUGCUUGCCUGUCCCCUGAACCAAUUGGUUCUGCUCAGGACUAAUGGCUAUGCAUUUUUGUGUUGUACCAUAAAUAAAAAUGGUGUCUUGCUCACAUGAGUCGACGUCAAGCAGGCCAUGGAGCCGCAGCCGGAGAGCGAGACCUAUCGAGCGCCUGCACGCCUCAAAUUUUGUUUUUGGCAUGAUAACUAGGGUUGCUGCUAGACAAGGAAGAUCCAUAUGGUUGACUUGCGCCGCUGUAGGAAAGAAAAGGUUUUGUUUUUCGCCUACCAUAUCGAUCCGCCCCAUCUAAGACAUCGAUAUAGUUGUUGGACCCUUGAUUGCCAUCUGUUCCUCACGGUGAGAUGACUUGCAUUACAUACCCUUGACAGACAUGGUCAGAUUGUUUAUCACCAUCCUCAGUUCCAGUGAGAUGAGUAGAAUUCUUCAGUCAGCCAACCGUGUGCAAUCAUGGUUGAAUUGUUUCUCCGAAGCCUACUAUUUUGGUUUUGGUGUUAAGUUGGGAAGAACUUGAAUUGCAAUUAGUAGUUGGGUUAACCGCAUCGCUAGCUAUGUGAAAUGGGUAGAUAUGUUGUCAACCGAGUGGUUAGGCUCCAUCUGUAAUCCCUAUCUGACAAAAACAUGGUUUUUUGGGUUGUCGGAUUUUCAGAGGCAUAUCUUUAGUUAGCUCGGGGAGGGCGCGGAUGAGACGGGCAUCGAUUUCGCUGUCGGUCUAACUGUUCCGACGAGAGGGUUCGGGGAGGAGCGCGCGGAAGAGGAAUAUUUGGAUUGGGCUGAUGGGUUGGUGGAACGGUGGAUCUGAUGAGUAGAAGACGGUUGUUGUUGCCGUGUGUCUUCUUAGAAUGACUGGUUCAUAUGUGGUUCUCUUGAAUGCUUCACUUUGGUUCCUGAGCAUAGCAGUGAUCUGGUAGUGGAGCGAGUCCUCUAGCUUGUUUGAUAGCUGUGGUAGAGAUGAGAUACUUUAACUUCUGAUGAGCAGCACGAGGUUAGAUCCACAACUGAUGAUGAAACAUGAAAUUUAAUCUGAAACAGUCUUACAAGAGCACGCACAUUGUUUUUGCUGGUUAUGCUGAGUGACCGGUGAUGAGCUGAAAUGACCAUGCCUAGCUUCAGAAUUGUUCAUCAUCCCUCCUGUCCUUUUUUCCAAAACCUGUUUAGCAGAAUUUUAGCGUCAAUUUUCAGAUGGAGUGUUAAUUCUGUUUUCAACGAUUCCCAUCCACAUGUGACCUCUCUCCUUCAUAACACCCGUACAAACACCAAGUGACACAUAAGUUCUUUUAACAAUAGGUAAGAGAGCUACAACCGGACCCCUAUUUCAUCCCUAAACGCACGAACGUCUCUCCGGUGCAGAAGCUAAUCACAAACUUUGUUUAUUGCUCAAUAAUAUUUGUUAUACAUAAAACAAGUUGUGUCUUUUUUUUAUACAUGAAACAAGUUGUGUUUUUUUUUGCCCGGUGCAACGCACGGGCAUUUGUACUAGUUGACCUCUAAGGCAUUAGCAAACCGUUUGAAGGCCAUGUUGCCAAAGAUAAUUUCCCCAACACAAUCAGCGUUUGUUUCUGGCCGAAUGAUUAUAGAUAAUGUGUUUUGCAUAUGACUUCACGCAUUGUGUGCACACACACAAAAUAGGGCGUGAUGGUUUGGUGGCGGCGAAGCUAGACAUGAGCGAACCUCACGACCGUGUCGAGUGAAAUUUCCUUGAACGCAUGAUGUUGCAGUUAGGUUUCACUGAGAAAUGGGUGCAUAUGACAUGAAGUGUGUUCGGUCAGUUAAUUACAGGGUCAAGGUGAACCGCAAUUUUGCUGAACCUUUUGCACCAGAGAGAGAUUUAAGGCAAGGCGAUCCGUUGUCACCAUAUGUAUUCAUCUUGUGUGCGGAAACCCUUUUGGUUUUGCUGACACAAGCUGACCAACAGGGAUCCAUGGAAUGAAUUCAGAUUUGUGAAGGGGCUUCCCGGAUCAACCACCCCUUCUUCGCCGAUGAUUCACUAAUACUCCUUCUAUACUUAAACAAUUGUAGUUGAAGAGAACUAGACUAGUUCUCCCCAACUACAAUUAUUUAGGUACACAUCGAGUAGUUAUGAAGGCAAACGUACAGUCGGCUGAGAAGUUACAACAAAUUCUUGCUCUGUAUGAGCUUCACUCGGGUCAGAUGAUCAAUAAAGAUAAAUCAUGUGCAUUAAAAAAUACAUGGAACAUCUCACAAAGGUAUAUCAAGCAAGCAUUUCAAUAUUAUCAAAUUUACAUAGAGAAAAUGUUCCUCAUGUAUACGGACAAUGUAUACGUGAAAUAUAUAAUGUGUGGGAAAAGAUUUGAUCAUGUAUUUAAAAAAUGUUAAUCCAAGCAUUUGGAAAAAAAUGUUAAACAAGUAUUUGAAAUUUUAUAAUCAAGCAUUUUUAUAGAAAAAUGUUGUCCAUGUAUUCAAAAAAUGUUGAUCUUCUAUUUGAAAAAUGUUAAUAAAACAUUUAGGAAAUAUUAAAUGUGUAUAGAAAAAAUGUUGACCAUGUAUAAAAAAUCAUUUAUUUCCAAAAAUGUUAAUCUAGCAUUUAAUAACCGUUGUAUGUGUAUAGAAAUUGUUUUGACCAUGUAAUAAAAAUGGUAAUCUUAUGUUUUGAAAAAUGUUAGUCAAGCAUUUCAAAAAUGUUAAAUAUGUAUAAAAAAAAUAUUGACCAUGUAUGAAAAAAACAUAAUCUCAUAUUUGAUGGGAAUAGAGAAAAUGCUUCUCAUGUAUAUGGAAAAUAUAUAAUGUGUGUGAAAAUAGUUGAUCACAUAUUUUAAAAAUGUUAAUCGAAGCAUCUGAAAAAUAUGUAAAACAAUUAUAUGAAAAAAUGUUGACAACGCAAAAGAAAGGUUAAAUUUACAUUUUAAAAUGUUAAAUAUGUGUAAAAAACAGAGUGGUUCUUUGCAACAAAUAUUUGCUAGGUUCUUCACAUACACACACAAAACACAUUUUUGGCACUCCGACAAUAGAAAAUGACUUUUUGUGUAUCUGAUGAAAUAGUGGGCAUGGCCAUUCAUUGCCAGGGGUGGAAUCUUGCAAAACUUGAGGCAGAUAUAGUUCAAAUUUGACUCACUUUCUCCAGAAUCGACAAAAGUUUGUCUAUCUCACAAGAGGUGGAUGAAAUUUCGUAGCACCCAACCAGUUGGUCUAUUGUAUACUCCCUUCGUCCCAAAAUUCUUGUCUUAGGUUUGUUUAGAAAUGAAUGUAUCAAAAUACUAAAACAUGAAUAGAUACAUUCAUAUCUAAACAAAUCUAAGUUGAUACAUUCAUUUCUAAACAAAUCUAAGACAAGAAUUUUGGGAUGGAGGGAGUAUUAAAUAUGAUAUAAUAUUUUUGAAAAUUGGUGCGUUCCAAUUUCGCAACAAAUAUUUCGUAGGCUGUUCACAAAAUAAAACCCUUUUGACACCUAAAAAUGGAAAAUGAAUUCUUGGUGCAAAAAAACGAAAAUUCCUUUGAAGUUAUGAAUCUUCACACAUGAUGGCUCAUUUCUUAUAACACUUUUUAAAGAUAUUUUCCUAGUCUAAGUUUGUUAUUUUUCAUGGUAACUAGCUCAUAUAUAAUGACACAUUGCGAAGUUUUCCAUUUUUUGAACCUAUUUUGGUUUUCUUAGGACAAUUUCAAAAUGCGGUCCAAAUAACUACAUGACCGUUCGUAGCUAGGGGUGAAAUCUUGAGAAAAGUUCCUUCCAUCUUUGAUGAAAAGCCUACUUUUAUACCUAAAAAUGACUUUAAAAAAGAGCAAACCAUGAAGCAGAUGUAGUUCAAAUUUGACCCGCUUCCUACAAAAUCGUCAUAAUUGUUUUUGACGAGAGGUGGAUCGAAAACAUUUUGACACCGAACUAUUUGGUCAACUGUACAUUAAAUAUAGUCUAAUAUUUUUGAAAAUUUAUGCGGAUCAAUUUUGAAACCAAUAUUUGGUAGGUUCUUCACACAAACCUCGAUUUUGACACUUGGAAAAUGGAAAAUGAACUUUCGUGCACAGAAAAUGAAAAUGCCCUUUCACAAUUUAUUUUUGCCAUUCCAAGGUGCAUACUUACGCAAAAUAUGAUAUCAUUUGAAAAAAAUAUGUUAUUAAUAUGGCCAUAACAUUAGUCAUUUGCCUUAAAAAUCAUGAAUCUUCAUACAUCGUAGCUCAUUUCACAUGAAUCUUUUUUAACAUUGCGUAGUCUAAGUUCGUGAUUUUUAGUGGAAACUAGGUCACGUAAUGACACAAUGCGAAGGUUUUCCAUUUAUUGGUUUUUUUUGAAUUUUUAUACCUAUUUCAAAAUGCUGUCCAAAACGACGUCAUGACCGUUCAUACCUAGGGAUGGAAUCUUGAGAAACUUCAGUUUGUGCUCUGAUCAAAUAGCUACUUAUGUACCUAAAUCUGUUUUUUUUUCCAAAAUAAAGGGCAACCUAUGAAGUAGAUGUAAUUAGAUUUUGACCCAUUUCCCCUAAAUCGACAAAAAAGUAUUUUUAUGAGAGGUGGAUCGAAAGCUUUUGACACCUAACCAGUUGGUCAAUUGUGUAUUUAAUAUUGUCUAGUGUUUUUCAAAAUUGAUGCGGUAAAAUUUGGCAACAAAUAUUUGGUAGGUUCGUCACAAAAAACCCCCAUUUUGCACUCGGAAAAUGGAAAAAAAAAUUUGUGGAAAGAAAAUGAAAACUCCGUUUGGCAACAUUGCUUGACAUUCCAAAAGUUCCCACUAUAUAUGUGGGCCUAUAGUAGGGGCAAGGGCCCAUGGGCCUCUCCAGGUUUUGGCCCUAGCCUCUUGGCCCUCUCAUCUUCUAAAACUUGCUCCCAAACUUUCUUGUGGUUAUUAAGGAUAUAUAUGUAUUUCAUUUGCCUAAAAUUUAGAAACAAUAGAAAAUACAAACUGACAUUGGUCACCGAAUUAAUAGGCUAGUCCCUCAAGAAGCUUGUAAAACAUAAAGCAUUGCAUAAGUAAAGGAUAAUAUCAAGAAACAUACUAAUUUGUAGAUACAUUGGAGACAUAUCGGUACAACGCAUGAGAUGCUUGGAAUUUUUUUCAAAAUUACUGUUGAAUGGGUGGUAAAAUGUAAUCUUCAACUAUCUUCUAUGUGCAUCACAAAGUUAAUAGAAUUAACAACAUUCGGAAAUUCUUUCUUACCUAACAAUUAUAAAGAGUGUGUUCUCAAAAGCUUGUUAAUGUGUCUUUAAAAAAGAACAUGUAAUUAAGCUAAUUCAAUGUUGCAUAUGUGUACUUACUUUUCUCCAUGAUUAACUUCAAGUGACCAUAUCCGCUGAUCUAUGUCUAGAAAAUAAUUACAACCUUCAUUGUCGUGUUACAUAUUUUUAGCCAAAAAUUGAAAUGCUCUAAAUGUGCGCGUUCGUUUCUAUGUGAUUAAUUUGAGGCGUACUUAUCUAGUAAGAUAUGUUUAGAAAAUAAUUACAACGGUCAUUGUUGUGUAGCAUAUUUUUCUUUAGAGGACAUUGAUAGGCAGUUUUACUUUGGACCCUACUUCCAUCUAUAUAAACAGUCACCAUGCCCUCUUUGAAACCACAACUCGUAUCUUUCUCAAGAUCAAUAUCUCAAGAAAUAUACUUCUAGUCAUCUAUUUACCAAUCAUCUUAGAUCAUCUCCACUUUGAGUAUGCCAAAGAGAGGGAGGAUGUUGGGUGUGGGGAACGUCGAGGAUGAGGCGAAGAAGGUAAGGAUUGCAUUCUUGGAAGAGGAGAUAGCAAGGUUAGAGAGAGAGCUUGCAGUGCAGAAAGAGAGAGCAAAAGAGACCAACCAACGCUUUGAGAAGGCAAAGAAAGAGAGCUCUGGAACUGUUGCCAGGUAUCUCUUCAUGAACGAAGAUGAUCUUAACCUUGAGGAGUGCAAGGAGUACUACCAAGAGCUCAUGCGGAUCAAGCAACAAAUUGCAAAUCGGUUGUCCUUAAUGUCUAUGGGCUCAAGCGUGCCACCACCGCAGCCACAUUUGUCUUCAGUGGAAUCAGAACAGAAGGAAGAAAAGUAGUGAAACUUCCAUACCUAGUCCAUUUAUGCGUCAUGUCCCAUCAACUGGGAUAUAUUGGUUACGUUCUAAUGAAGAAAUAAUGGACCACCGCUUAUGUUGCAAUGAACAAACUUGUUUGAAGUAAUAGUUGUCACAAAUUUAAAUUAUCCGAGGAAAGAGUUGUUAUUGGACAAAGAACAAAAUAUUAAAAAACAUGUAUUAAAUAUAUAAUUGAACAACAUAUGCAUGUUCACUACAUUCCAAUAAUGAGAUUUUAAUCCAAAAGAAAAAGAUCGCCAUUUUAUGAGCAAUGAAACUUCUUAAAUAACAUAUAAUGUCCAAUUCGAAUGUCUAGAUGAAAUUUGGUGCAAAGGUGUCCCCAAAAACACAUUUGUCAAGUACCUAUGACUUCUCCUCCGCUUGGAUGUGGUUCAGUAUUUUUAUUCGUCAUGGAUAUAUUGAUAGAUUUUGGGACACGAGGUCUAAUGCACAUAGCUUGUAACAAGCCAUAUAAGUACCCCAAGACCUUAUGCACGGUACCCACGGCUGCCACCUUUCUUGAGCCAAGACCGUUUGCAUCUGAUGACUCUUGGUUAUAUGGAAAGUCGCUAGAAAAUACAAAAAAGAUGCUGGGGAACGUUGCAUGAGAAAUAAAAAAUUUCCUACGCACCCGUAAGAUGAUGUAGCAUAGCAACGGGAGGGGAGAGUGUGUCUAUGUACCCUCGUAGACCGUUAAGCGGAAACGUAUAUAACAUAGUUGAUGUAGUCGUACUCUUCAUGAUCCAAUGACGAUCCAUCCCGAUCAAGCACCAAACAGACGACCUCUCCGUGUUCAGCACACGUUCAACUCGAUGACGUCUCCACCUUUUGAUCCAGCGAGCGAGGGUGGAGUAACAGAUGGGUUCUCAACCAGCACGACGUCAUGGUGGAGGUGGUGAUGGAGCUAGUUUAGUAGGGCUUCUCCAAUCGCUACUAGAAUAAGGAUGGGGCAGCUACAGAGUAAGAAAGAGAAAUAGAGAGAGAGGCGCCAAGGGCUUGGUGUGUACUCUUGGGGCGCCGCUUGUAACGCCCAAGAUGCGCUCAUAUCCUUAUUUUGGCGUGAGGGCCUCGACACGGAUCGAAACGCAUCUUGAAGUUUCGCAAGAAUGGAUAUCGUUACAAGUACAUGUACUGAAAAGAUGAGUAUAAGGAGUUGGCUUACACUCGCCACAAGCUACAUCAGAGUCACAUCAGUACAAUACAUACAAUCAUCAUGAAGAAGAGCAGGGUCCGACUACGGAUGAACACAAAGAAUAAAAGAACGAUGUCCAUCCUUUCUAUCCCAGGCUGCCGGCUUGGAACCCAUCCUAGAUCGAUGAUGAAGAAGAAGAAACUCCAAAUGAACAAUCAACGUGCUUACAUCAUAGUAACUCUUUAUCUGUACCUGCAACUGGUGCUGUAGUAAUUUAUGAGCCACAGGGACUCAGCAAUCUCAUUUCCAAAGGUAUCAACACUAGCAAAGCUUAAUGGGUGAGAUAUGGCCUAGUGGUGAGGCUGCAGCAAGCGACUAAGCAUUUAUUUGAGCUGGCUAACUUACGAGUACAAGAAUAAAGAGGGGGGAUGAUCUACGCAUAGCGGGCGUGAACUACUGGUGAUCAGAUGAAUGAUCCUAAACUCCUACUUACGUCAGACAUAACCCCACUGUAUCCUCGAUCGGAGAAGGAGCUCACGUAAGAGACAGUCGUGCUGGUUAAUGCGGUUCUUAGUUGCUUUGAGUUUACACUUUGGGUGGGGCUCGCAACUUAAUAGCGACGAGAUGUUCUGGAUAGAUACAUCAAGGUGGAUGAUUAGUAAGUAGAUGGUGAUGAAUAAACGGUCUACUUGUCUUGGCGUACUGCCCAUUACUAUUGAACCGCUAACUAUCAAGUAGCAUAAUUAGCAUUGCGGUGCGUUCAUAAUUCUGUCAAUUGCCCAACUGUAUUUUGAUUACCCAAGCAUAGUUGUUUCUCGUCUUUUGGGAGAGAGACAUCACUAGUGAACAUCAUGUGACUCCGGUCCAUAUCACCAUCAUUGUUUACACCUCCAUCAUUUACCGCUUUCAUUUACUUUUUCGUUGCAAUCACUAUUACCUUCCCGCUUGUGUUUUGAUCCUUUGCAAACUACAAGGCCGGAGAGAUUGACAACCUCUAUGUACUCGUUGGGAGAAAAGUUAUUUGUGUGUGUGUGCAGGUCCACGUCUUCUGCUGACCAGGACAAAAGACACCUACUUGUUGGUCCUAGGAGUCCUUCUCGUUCGAUAAACCUUACAGUCUCCGUGUAAGGGAAAACUUGUUGCUGACUACAUCUCAACCUUCCACUUGGGGUAACCAACAAGGUGCGAGAAGUGUAUACAUCAUCUCGUCAUCAGUAGGGCUGCGCCGAGAGAGAGAGAUAGAGAGGUUGUCUCAAAUCAACCCAAAAGCCUCCAAUACAUAUAGGAGAAGAGGGAGGAGGUGCCCACCCUUUAGGGUUUCCAACCCUAAAGGGUGCGGCAGCCCUAGAUGGGCUUGGGGCUGCGGCCAAGGAGGUGGCGCCCUAGGGUGGGCCUUGAGGCCCAAGGUGGCCUCCCCACGCCUAGGGUUUUGCCCCUCUCCACCCUUGCCGCACCUUGGGUUUCUUGUGGAGGCGCACGAACCCACAUAUGGGCUGGUACCCAACCACUCUUAGUCCAUGUAGCAACUUGGGGCUGGUGGCCCUUGCAUGUGGACCCCCGGAACACUUCCGGUGGUCCCAGUACAUUACCAGUGUCACCCGAAACAAUUCGAGUGACCAAAUCCUCACUUCCUGUAUAUCAAUCUUUACCUCCGGACCAUUCCAGAACUCCUUCUGACGUCUGGGAUCUCAUCCGGGACUCCGAACAACCUUUGGUAACCACAUACACUAUUCCUCUAUAACCCUAGCAUCAUCGAACCUUAAGUGUGUAGACCCUACGGGUUCGGAAAGCAUGCAAACAUGACCGAGACACCUCUUCGGUCAAUAACCAACAUCGGGGUUUGGAUAUCCAUGUUGGUUCCCACAUGUUCCACGAUGAUCUCAUCGGAUGAACCACGAUGUCGAGGAUUCAAUCAAUCCCGUAUGCAAUUCCCUUUGUCUAUCGGUAUGAUACUUGCCCAAGAUUCGAUCGUCGGUAUCCCUAUACCUUGUUCAAUCUCGUUGCGGGCAAGUCUCUUUACUCGUUCUGUAACACAUCAUCCCGUGGCUAACUCCUUAGUCACACUGAGCUCAAUAUGAUGAUGGGUUACCGAGUGGGCCCAAAGAUACCUCUCCGUCACACGGAGUGACAAAUCCCAGUCUCGAUUCGUACAACCCAACAAACACUUUCAGAGAUACAUGUAGUGCACCUUUAUAAUCACCCAGUUACGUUGUGAAGUUUGGUACACCCAAAGCACUCCUACGGUAUCCAGGAGUUGCACAAUCUCAUGGUCUAAGGAAGUGAUACUUGACAUUUAGAAAAGCUUUAGCACACGAACAACACGAUCUAGUGCUAUGCUUAGUAUUGGGUCUUGUCCAUCACAUCAUUCCCCAAUGAUGUGAUGCCGUUAUCAAUGACAUCCAAUGUCCAUGAUCAGGAAACCAUGAUCAUCUAUUGAUCAACGAGCUAGCCAACUAGAGGCUCACUAGGGACACGUUGUGAUCUAUAUAUUCACACAUGUAUUACGGUUUCCGGUUAAUACAGUUAUAGCAUGAAUAAUAGAAAAUUAUCAUGAACUAGGAAAUAUAAUAAUAACCACUUUAUUAUUGCCUCUAGGGCAUAUUUACAACAAUCUCCCACUUGCACUAGAGUCAAUAAUCUAGUUACAUUGUUAUGAAUCGAACACCCAUAGAGUUCUGGUGCUUAUUGAUAUGUCUCCAACGUAUCUAUAAUUUUUGAUGGUUCCAUGCUAUUAUCUUGUCAACUUUGGAUGUUUUGUAUGCAUGAAUAUCCUAUUUUAUAUCUUUUUUGGGACUAACCUAUUAACUCAUGAAAGGACGUGGAUGUCGCCUAGAGGGGGGGGGGUGAAUAGGCGCUUUAAAAUAAUUACGGUUUAGGCUUGAACAAAUGCGGAAUAAAAGUAACUUUUAAUUUGUCAAGCACAAAACCUACAACAACUAGGCUCACCUAUGUGCACCAACAACUUAUGCUAAGCAAGAUAAACAACUAAGUGAUAGCAAGAUAUAUGACAAUAAACAAAAUGGCUAUCACAAAGUAAAGUGCACAAGUAAAUGGUUCGGGUAAGAGAUAACCGAGGCACGCGGAGACGAUGAUGUAUCCCGAAGUUCACACCCUUGCGGAUGCUAAUCUCCGUUGGAGUGGUGUGGAGGCACAAUGCUCCCCAAUAUGCCACUAAGGCCACCGUAAUCUCCUCACGCUCUCGCACAAUGCAAGAUGUCGUGAUUCCACUAAGGGACCCUUGAGGGCGGUCACCGAACCCGUACAAAUGGCAAACCUUGGGGGUGGUCACCGAUACCCGUACAAAUUGCUCGGGGCAAUCUCCACAACCUAAUUGGAGACCCCGACACUUGCCCAGAGCUUCACCACAAUGAUUGAGCUCCGAGACAUCACCAAGCUUCUAGGACACCAAAGCAUCCACAAAGAACAAUAUCUAGGGUACUAAGUACCAAAGGUAAUAAGCUUCUCAAACUUCACUUCCACGUAUCACCGUGGAGAACUCAAACCGAUGCAACUAAUGCAAUGGCAAGGGCACACUGAGUGCCCAAGUCCUUCUCUCCCAAAUCCCACCAAAGCAACUAAUGCUAGGGAGGAAAUUGAGAGGAAGAACAAAGAAGAACACGAAGAACUCCAAGAUCUAGACCCAAGGGGUUCCCCUCACUUAGAGGAGAAAGUGAUUGGUGGAAAUGUGGAUCUAGAUCUCCUCUCUCUUUUCUGUCAAGAACUAGCAAGAAUCAUUGGAGGGAUUGAGAGUUAGCAAGCUCGAAGAAGGUCAACAAUGGGGGAAGAACACGAGCUAAAGAGAUAAGGUUCAAUGAGGAAGAAGACCCCCUUUUAUAGGUGGGAAAAUCCAACCGUUAAGCCUCACAGCCCGCACAGAGAGGUACUACCGCUCAUGGAGCGGUACUACCACUCGGUAGCUUCACCAACCAUGUUGAGGCCAAAAAGUAUGCAAAAAACGGUCAGACGGAGCGGUACUACCGCUCCUGGAGCGGUAGUAAUUACCGCUAGGGAGCGGUAGUAAUUACCGCUAGGGAGCGGUAGUAAAAAAUUACUACCGCUCCGGGGGCGGUACUUCCUCUUCGGGGGCGGUACUACCGCUACAGGAACGGUACUACCGCUGGCACCAGGAGCGGUACUACCGCUGGAUACUGAAACUGCUGUAACUUUCGCAUACGGACUCCGAAUUCAACGAAACCAAGUUUGUUGGAAAGCUAACGACAUGGUCUAACACAAUCUUGAUAGAAGUAUCAAUAAGAAGCAAGUGAUGAAAGUCCCAUAAGAAAAUGGUGAGAACCCUUAUUCGAAUAAGACCGGUAAAAACUCCCAACAUCGAAAACAUCAUAGAAGAUGCAUAUGGACUCCGUUUUUGAUGAACUCGAGCUUGUCAUGAAGAUGAACAUAAGCUCUAAAACUCACAAAGAGAAACACCAAACAAGAACCAAGAAGUAUGAUGCAAGGAUGCAAAUGGUUUGAGCUCUCAACAAACGAUACGAUCAAGCUACUCACUUGAGAGCCCCCCCUGAGAGUACGACAAUCUAUCCUAAAACAGAAAACCUAUCAAGGGCAAACCUAUACCUUGCGCCUCGUCCUAUUGAGCUAGAUGACGAUGAUCUUGGCUUCCUCAAGAUGGACCACCAUUCUUCAUUGCGUUGGCUUGAUGAAAACUAGUUGAUUGCUCCCCAUACACACUAUGGGUGAGCCGCUCUUCAGCAUAUCUUCACAAGUCCAUUGCCACCACAAUGGACGGCAAGCAUCAAGCAUGAUAUAUUCGUGUUGAUCCACUUGAACUUGCACACCGCAAUCUUGAUGACGAUCACCACUUGACGUCAUCCUUCAUGGGUUGUAUGAGAUCUUCCUUUUGACGCAAGCCCAUGGAAGCACACCUAACCCCCACAUAGAACUCUCACAAAGACCACGGGUUAGUACACAAACACGUAAUGGACAAUGCUUACCAUACCAUGGGAUCACUUGAUCCCUCUCGGUACAUCUUUGUGACAGCCCGAUGCCGAUGUUCCAGAAGAUUCCCCUCUCUUUCCGUUUUCGUCGUGUGUUUAUUUUCUUUUGCCGCAUCAUCGUCACAUCAUGCACAUCAUCUGCAUUGCAUCGGCAUCUCCGUUGCCGCCCGUUUUCAAAACUUGCAUCCGUUGUUAGUUGCNNNNNNNNNNNNNNNNNNNNNNNNNNNNNNNNNNNNNNNNNNNNNNNNNNNNNNNNNNNNNNNNNNNNNNNNNNNNNNNNNNNNNNNNNNNNNNNNNNNNGGGCGUAGCAGCGGCAGCACAGCUGGGAUACCGACGUCACGUCAUGGUUUUGAUGGCGACCGCACGUCCCGGGAUCGGUGGACGACGAGGCUGAUACGGUCACGUGUGACGCUCGCUCGCCGGGGAAAAGCAUAUGCCGUUUGCGGCAUGCACGNNUCUGCAGCUUUGACCGGAGAGCUGCUCGUCGGCCGCUGGAGCUGGGCGGCGGUCCGUCCAGCCGGUGGGAAGGACGUACGCGAAACGUAAGCGCGUGCGGCGGUGUAGUGCAAGCGCCUGGNNNNNNNNNNNNNNNNNNNNNNNNNNNNNNNNNNNNNNNNNNNNNNNNNNNNNNNNNNNNNNNNNNNNNNNNNNNNNNNNNNNNNNNNNNNNNNNNNNNNNNNNNNNNNNNNNNNNNNNNNNNNNNUAGUGCAAGCGCCUGGCUCCAGAUGCUGACUGCACAUACAAAGAUGCAGAUGCUGACUGCACAUAUAAAAGAUGCUGACUGCCAGGCGCUUGCACUAGGAUAAUGGAGAUGGAGAUGGUAUAUACUCCGAAGGCAUGAAGACAGGUAUUUGCUCCAGGUGAGAUAUAUGUAUGUGUUAUGAAUUGUGGUUUCGAGGAAAACAAUUGUGGAACUCGAUGUGUUUUAUGUUUGUUUGUUUUAAAAUUUGCAGCUGCUAAGUUUCUGAAGCUUCGUCGUCAUACUUUGUGUGUUGUUAAUUAGUAGUAGAAUUCUUAUGCAUUCUACUAUUGUUUAUAGGAAACUCAAGACAUGAUGGUUCCGUUUUGGACGAAAAAGAAAAGUAGCACCACUGUGUUAACCCAAUGCUUAGGUGAUUAACUGCAAAUCAAAAAAUUAUCCCCUGUUUGCGCAGUAUGGAAGUACAUAUGGUUAUUGGUCCUUGAACAACUUGGCAUAUGUAAAUUUCAUGCGUUCUAAUUUUUUAGCCCUUGUGAUUCUUGAAGUAGGGCCUCCCGAAUGUCUGCACAUUGAAGUCGAAUAGCAAGAUGGGAUAGCUCGAGAGGCAAAGGGCAAGAUGUCCAGACGGCAGCAAUGUUCGAAUCUUCUGGAACAUGCAAGUCUAUGGCAGGCGACAUCUAUCUGCAGACCUGAGAGGUGCAAGCCUGCUAUCCUGGAGGCCGUAAUGAACCCUAAAUCGAUUCUUGUAGCUGCUCCUGUGUAUUCAUUUCCCAGGUAAUGAACUCCUGACCCAAUACUCUGUAAUAAUUUCCUCGCAUAUAAUAUAGUGCAGCAGCGGCUUGCUACCUUUGUCCCCCAAAAAAAGAACUUCAAGUUUCAACUUUUGUCAAAAUUUGUUACUACAAUUAAAAUUAUUUAAUUAUAGGCUGAUGAUAUGAAACACAGUUUGAAACUGAACCAACUACCAACUUCAAAUGAUGUUGAAUAAUAAUCUUUUCUGAAAAUUUUUUAUUGAAUAAUCUGUGAUAAUUCCUAUCUUUAUUAAUUGAUCAGCUUACAUUUUUCAAGAAUGGCAAAAUUUUAAAGCAUGUCAAACAUGAAGAAAAAUUCUCCAAGGACAUGAUGAGGAUCUUGAUUUUUUUUUCUUCAUAUUAAAAAUUGAACCGGUUGCCAAGUUUAUUGCAACAUUCCCCGCAAAUUUUUUUUUGCAACAUCAUGUAAAAUUUCUCCGGUGACAAAAAAUAUGUAGUCACCAAACCUAACCCUCACCCCUGUGAUGAUCCCCGUUGUCCAGAUUUUUCUUGGUCCAAAUCGAGUGCACCAUGAUCUCUACUCCCUCCAUUUCUAAAUAUAAAUCAUUUUAGAUGCUUUAAUAUGAAACUACGUACAUAUUCUAGAGUGUAGAGUCAUUCAUUUUACUUUGUAUGUAGCUUCUUAGCAGGCCCGGUCCUAGGGGUGUGCCACCUGUGCGGGUACUUGAAGCGGCUUUACUAACAUUCGAAUGUUGUUUGACUAAAUCCUUUUAAUUAACCAAUUACAGUGGCAGAGCAAGAUGGGAUAGCUCGAGAGGCAAAGGGAAAAUACAUCAAUUAAAUGGUUGGGGUUUAAUGUAAGUUUUUCUGCAAUUAAAACUGCAAUUUUCCAUCUCGAUUAUGUCCGUGAUUAAGUUUUGAGUGUGGGCACCAGCAGGAGAUCAACCGCUCCGUCCUCUGCCAGGUCAUCGCCGCCGGGGAUGUGGAUGCACGUGGGUCUGUCGGUCGCUGGUAGACGAGGUCGCGUGCACGUGGAGCACUGGUCUCCUCCCUGCCGUUGUCGACCUCCCUGUUGCCAGUGACAUAGAUCAACUGUUGGUGGACCGACCGCUGCCAAACGAGGUCGCAUGAGCGUGGACACACAACGGAGAUUAACAGUAGCCGGCAGGAGAUCAAUUGUUGAUUUAUUCACUCUUUUGUAAGCACUUAUCUUUAGAUGACACAUUUUAUUGUUCUGAUGUUCCGUUUUACUAUGGGGUUUGAUUUUAUCAACCUAAUUCAGUCUUUCUUUUGCAAAUUAUUUACAAAAGAAAAUGGUUAGGGAUGAAGAGUUGAAGGACUGAAACCAAAUGUUCCUAAUGAGGAAAAUGACUGGCUCAAUUCCUUUGAAACAAGGCCAACGCUAUGUGCCAAUAUUAAAUAUUGCAACCAUGUUUACUUGGUCCAAUAUCGUAUAGCAAUGUAUGCUUCAUGCAUCCACUUUUUAUCAUUCAUUUUUAUUAUUCAAAAUCUCUAUAUGAUCAUCAUAUAUGUUGCUAUUACAUGGAUUUAUUAGUAUUUUUCAUGUGUUGUAUGGAUGUUACUUAAUCUCAAUAUGAAAACAGAAUUUAGUACCCACACAAAUUUCAUAAGAUGCUUUGAUCGAAACGUGCGUGCAUGGUUACUAGUAUACAUAAUUAAUAAAGAUUCGGCUGAAAAGCUGGGUGGGGACACACACCGGCCGGGGUUUCACUUCCAAAAGUGUUCCUCUUCCAUGGAGCGGAAAUCCGGGCGUCGCCUCCCAUCGUCCGCGCAGAUGGGUGGUGCUCCGAUGGAGGUGAGGCCUGGGCGUCGCCUGCGUUCCGCGGAUCCGCAGCUAUGCAGCCCAAGCGUUGGCGGGGGUGGCGAACCGGAUCGCAUCAGCUCCCUCCCGGACGAGCUCAUCCUCCUCAUCCUCACCCUCAUCGGAUGCACAGCCACCGCCGCGCGCACCAGCGUCCUCUCUCGCCGGUGGCGCGAUCUGUGGAUUCAUCUUCGCCGGAUCGUCUUCCACAACAUCGCGCCGUCGGCUGCAUCGGCGAUCGGCCGCGUCCGUGGCCCCGCGCCCGCGGUGUCCCUCCUGGAAGUCCGCAUCCCCAGCAGGCAUCUCGGGCCCUUCGGCGCCACGGCCAGCAGGCUGCUCCGCGCGGCCGUCCGGCUGGAGCCGGAGGAGAUCGUGCUGAGCUUCCCCUGGAGCGUGGAAUUCGAGGCCCGGCAGCUGAACCUCGUCCGGCUGCCGUGCUUCCGGCGCACCACAUCGCUCACGAUGGAACGGCUUCUCUUCUACUGCCCCGACGGCGAGGGCGAGUUCACGGCGCUCCGGACGCUGUCCAUUUCCUACGGCCUGGGCGGCCUCCACAGCUUGCUCCCCCGAUGCCCGCACCUGCGGGUGCUCAGUCUCAAGUUCGUCAAUGACGGCUUCGGACUUGUCCAGAAUGGGUCGAUCUCACUGCACUUGCCGUGGCUGCAGGAGCUUUUGCUUGAAACCAGCAUAGUGCACACGGAUGCAAUCGACAUCGUCGCCCCUCUGCUGAAGCGAUUGACUGUGUCGUUUGGCACUUACAAGACGGUGAGCAGCAUCGCCAUCUCGGCUCCAAUGGCGGACAAGGUUUCGUGGGAGUGGUGGUAUUUCGGGGCCCGGAGCAGCGUCCAGUUUGGUUUUUGGAGCCUCCAGAGGUUGUGGCUACACACAGGAGAGAGAGGGGGACAGCUUCCAUCGCUCCACAUUCAUGCAUCCCAGGUAUGUAUCCAUUCCACAGCCCACUCAUGUUCAAUUUACUGAAUUUAGGGGAACUAGCAAACUUAGAAUGGCCCGUACAAUGCGCAAAUUCAAGCAUGACUACAUAAUUCCAUUAGUCGACUUUACAAUUUAAUUAGGUGCAGCAAUGCAAAUCUGAGAUUUGAUGUAUUUUGCAUAAACUAACAGCAGAGGUAGUUGAAUAAUUUUUUUUCUCAAACACAUAGGAAAGCUGUGUAUCAAGAAAGAAAGUGUACAACCAUGAGUACACCCAAACACACUCCCACCAUAAGUUUUUGAAUAAAAUGUUUUUAACACAAAAGAAAAUAUCACCACUAUCCGGAAGUGGGUAUACCAUAUUCAAGCAAAGCAUCAGCACAUAUUUUGCAAGUGGGUACAACAUAUUCAAGGUAACCAAAGUUUGGACUACGAACCGAACAACUGGUUGCCGUGUGGACAUUGUAUAAUAUUUCGUUUGUAUAUAGCUGUUUAAAUCACGCAGAAUUAAAGUUCGGAUGAUGAUCUUUCGUUUGCUUCUUUUUGAUAAUUUCUAGCAAAUCUCUCUUUUUUAUGUUGUAUAUUAUUGCGCUUUUAGUACAUAAUAGAUAGAUGGACAGUUGACUACACUGAAUUGUACAAUGAUAUAUAUCCUGUCAAUGUUUUUUCAGAGAUGGUUUAUUUCCAAUGAAGACACCUUUGCGCAGGAGGUAGAGAAGCACAUGGUUUAUGAUUUCUCUGUUUUGGAGCUACAUCUCCUAAAAUCCGGACAUGUGUUUGGAGCACUCGUAUUUCACCUCCUCGGGAUUAUUCGUCUUUCCAGAAAUAUACAGAGGCUUAAGAUUGUCCUAGAGAAAUCGAUGGUAAUUAUUCGUCGCCUUCCCACCAUCCAUAUUAUUUCUCAAUUAUACACUGUGUAGAACUUUACAUUUAUUUUUGGUUUUAGCUGAAAGGAAAAUGCUCGCCACACUGUACAUGUGAGUCCACUAACUGGAGAUCUCAAACUAUCUCCUUGACUGCUCUCGAAGAAGUGGAAAUCAAUGGCUUCAAAGGACAGGAACAUGAGUUUGAUUUACUGAAAUUGUUACUCAAAUGUGCACCAGUGCUUAAAAAAAUGAUAGUGCAACUGUCACAUGAGGCGUCAUCUAAUAAUAGUGCAAGCGCUAAAAUAUAUAAGAUCUGCAGGGCCUAUUCUUCAGUGGAAUGCUAUGUUUAUGAGAGCUCUGGUGAGUACUUAUUCGUUAUACAUGAUUAACAUGCUCCUAUAUUAAACAGAAAUAGAAAUGUUAAUUCUUGUCGGGUUUCUCGAAACCUAAUCUUUCAUUGCAUCUCAUGUUUAGGGUGGUUGAAAUGUGGCAUUGAUAUCCCAAUUAGAGUUUAGUUGUGUAUGUAUCCCAGUUAUUAGCUAAUUUAACAUGCUAUAUUUAUACGAAUUUGUGUUUCCACACACGAAUUUUUUAUAGAAAUAUAAGCUGGAUACUGAGUUGGUGAUAAGAAAAAAUCAAUAUUUUUUUGUGGGCUUCCUUACCUUGUUUGCCCUUUUUUGUUAUUCUGUUGACCGUGCCCUUCUAUUUUGCGUCUGAUUUAUAGGCUAGCUGAAGUGGUAUCAUCUGAUUUUUAUUGGCCAUGCGAUUUUGCACAAGUUAUUUAGUUCCAUUGUGUUUCUUCUUAGCAUGUACUGUGGUAUUUGUUCCUGCCGUCAGCAUGUAUUGUGUUUUGUUUGCCGGUGACAACAAGCAUUACACAUAGAACUGCCCUACAAUUCCACGGGGCGAUACUUACUGAGCUAGGUUUCAAUCUGUCUCCUUUGCAGGGUUAAUGCAUGGCAGCCAAAUUUCUCCGUUGACAUGAUUCAUGUCCUUACAUUUAAGGAUUCUAGUGAUCAUCGACAAACACCAUCCUUUUCCUAUUCUGAACAACUCAAUUACCUAGUCUCAAGAGUUUGAUUGGUUGCUUGGAUUGAAUUGAUCAUCCAGAUGUUGCUUUGCCAGUGUAUUUUAGCUCUUUAUUGGGAGCUCAGUUAAAUCUUGAUUGGUUUCUAUGCACUCAACCUGUGGUUAUUAUGUUAAACCUGUUGUUUCAAUUUCCUUUUGUGCUAUUUCAUUUUGCCAAAAUAUAAGCCGCGUCCUGUUUGGGGCUGGCACUAGUAAUUAUCUACACCUAUAAGCAUUUUCCUACUAGUGUAACCUUUGGUAUUGCCAUAUCUACUACCCUCCUCAGAUCCAUUUACCACCAUGUGUGAUCUCAUCGCCGCCACUUGUCGCUCAUUAACAUCUACCGCCAUUUGUGAUCUCAUCGUCACCGCUUGGUGCUAUGUACGACCUCACCCUCAUCACCACUUAUGUUGUCCCCAUCCACCGAUAUAUCUUGGUAACACACUAGAUGUGCGCCCUAAGCCGAGUAAACAAUCACAAGCUUCCUAGGUUCUUCCCAUUAGGAAAAAUAGGCAACUUAUGUGUAGACAACCCAUGUCUUACACAAAAGGAACGAAAGGGGAAUGUUGGCGAAACCUCUCACUUGCUAGUCUACUGCAUCCAUAUUGCAUCCCACCUGGUACUGGAAGCAUAGCUAGAACCCGACGCCAAAAUUCUAGAGUUUUGUCAUCACUCCAUCUGAGUAGAGAUCUGAUCGUCUAUGGAGGUGAGCUUAGGACCUCAUCAGAGUUCCACCCCAAGACCCAGAUAGCCAAGGCAACGGGCCGGACCGCCUCAAAGCCUUCCCCCAAUGACUUUCUCCUUCCUGUUCUUACCUUCAUCGGAUGUGCCGCAUUAUGUGCACCAGUGUCCUUUCCCUCCAGUGGCACUACUGCCUCUCGAUUGGUCUCCCGAGAUCAUCUUUCAUGGCGGCAUCUUCGACUCCCUCGAACUGGCGCUCAACCAUGUCUCUCCCGUGGUUUUCAUCCUCAAGAUAUGCGGCCCAUGUAGUAGGAUAAAGUCCUAGGUCUAGCCAACUCCAAGAAGCCUUAGGACAUUGCAAAAAGGGGUGAGCAGUAUCUUUGGAGUUUCAUGCAUCUUCCAUUUUAUUUUUGGGGUUGUGUCUUGGUAAAUCUAUUAAUUAGAAUUUUUUGAUAAAAAAGGAAAGUCAAGCCUUCCAGCCUCUCCAAACAAGCAUAUUUUUAGUGAGGAAAAGAGUCAAGUGUCUAGGACAGAUAGAUUUUCUACAAAAUGUAAAACAAAUCGCGAGGCGUCAAUUUUGGAAUCCAAUACUANNNNNNNNNNNNNNNNNNNNNNNNNNNNNNNNNNNNNNNNNNNNNNNNNNNNNNNNNNNNNNNNNNNNNNNNNNNNNNNNNNNNNNNNNNNNNNNNNNNNNNNNNNNNNNNNNNNNNNNNNNNNUUGGAAUCCAAUACUAAUGACAACUGUGAGCUCCUCUAUCGAUUACCACAGUCCUAUCGAAAUAUGAUCCAUACCUGACGGCCGCCAAAGAAGUGUCUGUUGUCAACGGCCAAAGCUGCAACUGCGCCACUCGCAAACCCACACGCCACCUGUAGAAAGGCUUCCUAGGGAAAGCCCGUCGUUUGCACAAUAGUUGUCAAUGUCGAUUAAGGAGGGGGCAUGGAGGUGGAUAUGAGGUCGAGGCCUCCAAGGUUUAGGAAGCUACUCGGAUCGCCGAGAGGAAACUGGGUUUGUCGCAGCACCAAUGAAGGGCGAUGGAGGAGGACAUGUACUCUAGGAUUUAGGGAUGCACUCAUGGCCGUUGAUAGGAAAGAGUNNNNNNNNNNNNNNNNNNNNNNNNNNNNNNNNNNNNNNNNNNNNNNNNNNNNNNNNNNNNNNNNNNNNNNNNNNNNNNNNNNNNNNNNNNNNNNNNNNNNNNNNNNNNNNNNNNNNNNNNNNNNNNNCAGUGUGUCGUAUGGAAACUUGUAAAUGCCUCCUACCCAAUGGAAUUCACAAAACAACACCUCUGUCGAUGAGAUUGACAAAUGUGCCUCCGACGGAAGCACAACAAAGUGACUCAUGUGCCCUCCCGCCAUAGCUAGUGGCGGANNNNNNNNNNNNNNNNNNNNNNNNNNNNNNNNNNNNNNNNNNNNNNNNNNNNNNNNNNNNNNNNNNNNNNNNNNNNNNNNNNNNNNNNNNNNNNNNNNNNNNNNNNNNNNNNNNNNNNNNNNNNNNNNNNNNNNNUAAUACUCCCGCCAUAUGCUUUGGUGGAAGCAACCUGCUGCAUUGGCUUGUAGUGGAAGUAGGUGGGCUAGCGGAUGCACACACUCAUAACUCUUUUUGCCUUUCUUCCAUCGGGGAUGGCGGAAGGCCGCCAUAGGGGGUGGCAGAAGGCCACCCUAGUUAGAUUCCCUAUGACAUGUUUAUUCCCGGAUAUAUAUGUUAUGUCAUGUGCAGGUUUGUGGCAGUCAUAGACGUUGCCACUCUUUGUUUUCCAUAACCAUGUUCACAUUUUUUUCGAGUAUUGGAAAAUAAGAUAGAUCACGAGAUACCAUAAAUCAAAUUAAGAUAGAAGCAAAUUCUCAAAACUACAAUUGAGUUCUAGUGAGUCGAAAGCGACAAGUUCCUUGCCACCUUUUGUGGUUGCAUUUGCAUAAUGCGCACCUCUCUGUCCCCUUCAUGUGAUUGUCCGCCUCAUGUGCCUCCUCGUGACGUUCCACCUCUUUCAUGCAACAUUGCAUGAAACUUAGUUGCUCCGAACUAUAUCUUUCAACCCCCUCUAUUGCUCCAUUUUUGCUAUCCCCGCCACCUUUUACCCGUGCUCGUCCUCUUAAAAGAUUUCCCACAAAGGAUGACCCCUUUCAUGAAUCUCACACAAAAUAACACAAAAAUGGUAUGGUUCACACAAAAAUUAACAGAAAGAAAUACUUGUCUUGUCAUUGUCAUACACUAUAACACUUAGCUUCCUACUUUUUAAGACCUCACAAUCAACUGAGGUCUCCACUUCAGAUUUGGGUCAUCCAAUUUUGACCGUGUCAACAAUUUUACAAGGAGCUCUAUCAUUCAUUUUUUAAUACACUAUGCUUCCUAAUUUUAGAGCUUUCCCCUUCAACUGAGGUAUACAAUUCUAAUGGCUUGAUUUUGACUCGGUCAAUCCUUGGUUGUGGCAAUGAAAUCUCAAACUUCGUUAAGCUCCCCCAUUUUAAAGCCCCCUCAUUAAAGUGAGGUCUUCAAUUUGAAUUGAAUACACAAUUGAUUGGAUCAUUGACCAGGCUUCAUUGUGGGAUUUCUCGAUGAGUGGAUCCCUUGGUAAAUACCUAGGUGGUGUGGCCUUAGUUGACAAUAUGGAAAGUGUCGCCCAUGACAUGUUUAGCACCAGCAUAACACAUGUGUACAACAAUGUAAGUAACUUUCUCAUGUAUUUAUAUUAAUUAAAAUACGUCUUCCAAUCACACGGUCAAAAAGAUCCAUACAAACACCACAAUAAAAAAUAUGAUACUCACGGAAGAUUCGCUACGGAUUGGUCAGACCAAACAUUCUACCACCAAUCACUUCCCUGAUUUUCACCAUUGGCCCACUCUUCCCCUAAUCUCUAACCAUAAAUUGACAAAGCAAUUUCUAACCAUGAUUUCAUAAAGUCUGUCAGUAGGAGUACCAUGUCUGAAAAAACAUAGUCCACUAUAUCCCCCACAUGUCAAACCAACUAAUAUGUACAUUUUUCACAACUUCAAAGUAAUUACAACGUCAAAAUAAAAAAUGUACAACCCCAAGAACAUAACUGGCGCGUAAAAGCGUGCAGUGCCCUUCUAGUUACCGUUAAACUUAAUGGUGACUUGUUGUACUUGGAAGUUCGUUGGGGGGGNNNNNNNNNNNNNNNNNNNNNNNNNNNNNNNNNNNNNNNNNNNNNNNNNNNNNNNNNNNNNNNNNNNNNNNNNNNNNNNNNNNNNNNNNNNNNNNNNNNNNNNNNNNNNNNNNNNNNNNNNNNNNNNNNNNNNNNNNNNNGGGGGGGGGGGUGCAUUCAAUUGGUACACGUGCGAAUCUGAAAAUUCCGUGGAUGAUAACCCAUAAAUAUAGAGGAUCAAUUGUAGAUAUUUUGGAUAAGUCCAGUGUCGAUCCCAAUGAAGAGCAGAAGAAAAUUGGUUGUUAGAAAGGAAUAAUUGUAAAAGCUACACAUACUAUUGUAUUUUUGUUUGAUCAAGAGAAUAUAUUGAGAGAAUGUAAAUUGUAAUAAAAAUGUAACCAUGCAGCAAGUGGCCCAAUUCUUAAUUGUGUUAAGGACAAGCUGAUGAUAAUAUUAAUAUGCAUCAAAUAAUUCUCGAGGACAACAUAAAUUUUGCCUCGUUGCUUUUUCACGUAGUUCCAUUGAUACUAACUUUCAUUGCUUUGAAAAGUGUUGUGUGGUAGCGCAUAAAUUUAUGUACUAUUCUUACUUAAAUAAAAAUACAUACUUAUGAUUAUAUCCUUCAUGUAGUUGCAAAUACAAGAAACUAAUUAAGAUAAUAUCUAACCAUAAAAUUAAACUCCAAGGUGUGCGAUUACUUCAUUUGCAAUAAUUCACAAAUUUAGGACACACUAACAUCUCUCACUCUGGCCAUCCAUUCCAAGCAAAUUUAUCACAUAACAAUCUCCUCUAGGCCAAUAAAGGUGAAGUGAUAUGCACUCGACGACUGCACAUCACCAUUGGACAAUUACAACACAACAAAUAUCAACACAUUGAACUUUACUAAAUUUUACAUCGUUACGAGCAACAAGGUUUCUCCCAAGUCCUCGGGAACUUAAAGGACUACUCUUAAGACAUCAUAUGAAUCAUGAACAAUUCGUUAAUGAUAUGAAUAAGAAUCUUCUAUUUUCUUACAAACAAAUCACUAAGCAUCAACUACUAAAUCGUAAAUAACACCAUGAAGUGAUCACCAGAGUUGUUCUAGGGUAAUAGUUUAUAGAUUGAAAGCUAAGGUUGGAAAUGAAUGAAAGAGAUGGUGCUGGUGAUGAUGAUGAUCGCCAGUGUUGGUGAUGUCGACAGCUUCAAUUUUCCCCACCCUGAGGGGAAGGACCCUCCACAUUGUUUCUGUCUCGAAGCUGGCAGCGGGAAAUUCCGGUAAAAUAGAUAUAAUGGAUCUGGGGUAAUAUAUGACCAGGGAUACCGAGGAGCGGCCGAGGGUUACCCUGUGGGCCUCACACGCGCUAUUAGCGUGACCAGAGGCCAGACCGCGUGGUGGGGCCGUGUGGGUCAAAUAAGGGUGACCUCAAGUGGGCUCUCACCCCUAGCUCUCUUCUCGCAUGAAAAUGACUCAUGUAUUUUUAUUGGAUUAUCUUGGUCUUCUGAAACUUGUUUACUUCGCCAAACCUUCUUUUGAUGCUUUUCAACAGCUUUCAUUUGCAACAAUGCAACAUAGAGGGUCGUAGAUACCAAUUGUGGACAUCCUCUCAAGCCCGGACUUGUGGUUAGGAAAAAUAAACAUUAGGUAAUUUGCACUUGCAUUUCUAUUUAUAAUGAAAAUAUCUUGCUUGUAAUUAACCUCCUUUUUAAUUUGUUUUUGCCAAAUAAAAGUGGUCAAGGUGCUCCAAGCUCUUAAUCUUGUGCUGGUUCAACCUCUGCAGCAUGACCUUCUCCAAGUGCUGGUGGAAUCCCUCAAGCUCCAAGUAUGGCCAGAAUUGCUCCUUUUCCAAGUGCUUGAAGGAGGACCAACAUAGAAGUCAAGAACUGCCGUCUGAGAUCGUGCUCGUCACGAAGCGACAUAUCCCACAUGGGCGAGUCCAUGGCGUACAUGCGGUCCUAAAGGAGAUCUAGUGGUAGGCGGGCGUGGCGCCGGUCGAUCUCCUCACGGCUGGCACAACCGCUCUCAGGACCUGAGGGAUAGGCACCCUCUCUCCAGAGAGAUGUCAGUUGUUGAGGAAGUGGACAUCGCUCCACAACAAGGGUGUCACGGUCUCCCAAUAACAACGGGAGACGUCGGCGGAGACGUAUGGCCCGCUACGUUGCGGCGCCCCGACGGGGAGAUUGCAAAAGCGGGCGGCAUGGAGCGGUGGUGACCGGAGGAGGAGCCAGCCUCAUGGUCAUGCUUCCCCUUGCCGAGCAAAUGCGAGUGGCCCAUUUGCCGCCGCCGAGAGGAAGAGGAAGGGUGGCGGCUAGGGUUUUCUCUCGUGUCGGGGCUCGAGGAGGCAGGACGGUUCGGAAGUGCAAGCUCUAGACUUACCGGUCUACGGCUUCCACAUUAAGAAGGACGAUGACGGGGGUAGAUGGGUGGCUGACUAGCGGGCCACCCCUGACGUGCCGAUUAAUUUUAGGUGGUGGGAAGUAGGUGGACGACCGCCACAGGGGCAUGACGCGGACGAAAAGAUUCGGCAGGCCCGUUCAUUUGUUGUCCGUGUGAUGCAAACCAAGAGUAAGUUUGCUUCAGAAAUGCAGUAGGCUAGACGUGAUUACGCGGAUGCGGUCGCGCCUUCGGCCGUGGCCUCUGUCCCAUUUGGAUCAAAACGGACACAAACUCUGAUGAUUUGGGGUCUGCAUUGGUAACUGAGCAUAGAUGCAUAGUAGGUAAUCUUCUUACUCACUCUCUGCUAUGCUCUGUUUAUAUAUAAUGUCAAGAUGUGUGUUUACCGGGGGAAAUGCAAUUCAGCUCCCGGGAGCAUGUGCUCCUGCCCAUGAAAAAUGAAUUUGAAGUGUCAAAAAAAUUGCAGCAAAAAAUUUAUGUGUUCUUUGUCACAUCCAAAUACUACCUGAAAAGUUUUAGACAAAAAGGUUAAACAUUCUGACCUGUGCACAAAAAACAAAUACAAAUUAAACAUCAAUUGUUAUCUCAAAAUAUCACAUCCAAAUUUAUUUUUUUCACCAACGAAACACCACUGCUCCAUUUUGCAUGAAAAUUGUCGAGCAUGCUUGCGACACAAACACGAACAUCUAUAAAAAAAUAGAGUUUUUUUAAACAUUUCCUAUUUUUUUGGGUUACUGUUCAUUCAGGUGCAAAUGCACCCGGGAGCCAAAAUGCCUCCCCUUAUUUUAUCAUUGUACAUGUAGUGGUUCUAGCACAAGUUAAAAAUUUGUUGAUACUAUUUACAGUACGAACAAUUUAAUAUGCUCGCGGUGGCAUAAUAAAUUUAGUUUUCACACACUUUGUUUGCUUAGGGCUUGUUUGGUUAAUCCCUUCCACAAAGGGAUUGGAGAGGAUUGGAGGGGAUUAAGAUUGAUUUUGACUUGUAGGAUAUUAAAUCCCUUUCAACCCCUUCAAACCCCUUCAAAUUUCAAGAAACCAAACAAGGCCUUAGGAGGAUCUAAUUUUGACCCAGGGUGUCCAUGACCAUUGCAAGCCCACUGGUUGUUGUCGCGAGCCCACUGAUUGGAGAAGCUAAACCAUCUUCUUGACGGAGCUUGAAGACGUGAAAAUUGAUGACUUCCGAGGAGAAGACCAUGAGUUUGAUUUCUUGGAGAUGGUAUUCAGGUGCACCCCGAUGCUCGGAAAAAUGACAGUGAAGCAAUCAAACGAGUUUGCGCCAAGCUACGCCAAGAUUCUCGAUGUCUUCAAGGGGCAUGUUGAGUUAAUAGGCAAUUUUCCGAGCAGAUUAAUCCAUGAAAUAAUUACUAACAUGGCAUUGACUAGGUUCAUGACAUACUGAUCACGGAGUAUACUAGCAAGUACUACGCAUAUAGCAGAAACAUCUAUGCAUAUAGGCAGUACUACUAGUGCAGACAAAAACAGGAGAGAGGCAAAAACAUCAUACCCUCCGAUCGGCCAGUUGGCCGUAGCAACAGCGGCGGCGGCGGCAGUAUCCUCUGCCGCCUUCUUCUCGGCUUCAGCCUUCUCAUGGAGACGGUCAGCUUCGCUUGGUGAAGACAUGGCGAUGACGAGGGCGACGCGGACGUAGACGAAGCAGACGGACGGAGGCGAGCAGUCGUGUGAUCGCUCCCCAAAAACCUAAUCGCCCCUCUCUCGUACAGGAGCCGGAGAGGCGAGGUUUCAGAGGCCUGCUCUCCCGUCGACCGUGUACGCGGUAAACGGGACGGAGUCGCCGGCGGCAGCAGCAGUUAAGGAACGAACGCGUGAGGCAGAUGUGAUCUGAUUCUCGUGACGGCUAGGGUAGGCGAUAGCCUGCUUAUAAAGGCGGCUGGGUGGAGAGACGUGGGCCAAACCCACGUCCGAGUCGGUAACAGCCACGAUCCGACGUCUCGGAUCGUGCCUUGUCCGUUACGUAUUCUCUGUUCCUGACCGGCAAAAAUAAGCGCGUAGGUAUGAGCUCGGCUCAUUCCCGCAACCCGCAGCGCGUCGUGACGAGGCGUUGCGUGGCGAGGCGGGCGGCGGAGGAGGAGUGCGCGAGGGCACCUUCUCUUCUCACUCUCCAAUAGCAUGUGGAAGAGAGACCCUUAUAAAGGGGUCCAACUUCUCCUCCACUAGCGGGGUGGGACUAAACUUCCCACCACCUUGUCAUGCCACCACCUACAUGGGGCCUUGGAGAUUUUUCUGAAAUUUGUCUUAUGGGCCUAAGGCCCAUCUCUAAUUUCAACAAUCCCCCACCAGAUCUCAAGGGCACAUCGUGUUCCCUCGUUCCAAUCACUGUUUUAAUAUACCAGCAUUUCAGUGAAGACCUGUUAAGGUUGAGCUUCACCUAGAACAAGUAGCUACACCCCUUUACAACUGAAUAAUGGACUAUGCCUUGAAUUGUCAGUUUGGUGUAAAGGAGCUUCACCACAAGUCUUACUAGUACUAGGCUGCCGAAGGUGACCCCUCGGGUGGAGCAUAUUAGUCACACUCCUGGCCUAUUCAUGAGUUUACUAGAGAUCACCCAAAUCUCAUAGACUGUGACAAGCAGUCAAGCUCAUAUAGGUGUGUUCCUCCAAAUAUCGCUCUAUAGGACAGCAUCUUGCUUACACAUAAGCUUUAGAACACAUUAAGACAGUAGUCAUCCUACCAUACAGUAUCCGAGAGCAUUGCAUCUCCAACGGAGUGGGUUAGUUAAGUUACUCUCCUCAGUUCACCACUGGCUUGUUUUCCCAGGUCCUACUUCACGGGAUCUCCGAUCAUAUAGGUUGGGUUACUGCCAUGGCAACUCAUGUGGGUCUCAUACCCAUCUCCCUCGAUGCACUGUCUAUCACAACACGUGAUAGCCCUUUAGUAAAGGGAUCUGCCAGAUUCUUAGCCGUUUGGAUGUAAUCCAACGCUAUCACUCCGGAGUUUCUCAAACGUCUGUCAGACUUCAAUAUCAUUCUUAUAUGUUUAUUGGACUUCAUAUUGUCCUUUGAACUCUUCACUUUAACAAUAACUGUUUGAUUAUCGCAGUUCAUAAGGAUAGCCGGAACCAGCUUCUCAACCACAGGUAAGUCCAUCAAAAGAUCUCGUAGAAAUUCUGCUUCGACACCAGAUGUGUCUAAUGCUGUUAAUUCUGCUUCCAUUGUCGAUCUUGUUAAGAUCGUUUGCUUGCAAGACUUCCAGGAAACAGCACCACCCCCAAGAGUAAACAUGUACCCAGUAGUGGCCUUCAUCUCAUCAGCAUCAGAGAUCCAAUUCGCAUCACUAUACCCUUCAAGUACCGAUGGGAAUCCCGUAUAGUGAAGCCCAUGGUUGACAGUACCUUUCAAGUAGCGCAUAAUUCUUUCAACAGCACGCCAAUGAACAUCGCCCGGGUUUGCAACAAACCGGCUAAGUUUGCUCACAGCAAAUGCGAUGUCAGGCCUCAUUGCGCUAGCUAGGUACAUAAGUGAACCGAUAAUUUGAGAGAAUCUCAAUUGAUCUAUAGUUGUGCCUUUAAACUUUCGAAUAAGCACACUAGGAUCAUAAGGUGUUUGAGAAAUUUUGCAGUCUGAAUAUCCAAAGCGACUCAAAAUCUUCUCAACAUAGUGGGAUUGCAGAAGUGUAAUCCCACCCUCAUCAUCUCUCAACAGCUUGAUGUUCAAGAUAACAUCAGCCACCCCAAGGUCCUUCAUCUCAAAGUUUUGAGACAGAAAAUACUUAACCUCCUCAAUUACUUUGAGGUUGGUUCCAAAUAUCAGUAUAUCAUCAACAUACAAGCACAAUAUAACUCCUUCGCCCCCACCAUGGCGAUAGUAUACACAUUUGUCAGCUUCAUUAACAACGAAGCCAACAGAUGUCAGAGUUGUAUUAAACUUCUCAUGCCAUUGCUUAGGUGCUUGUCUCAGACCAUAUAAAGAUUUCAGCAACUUACACACCUUUCCUUCCUGACCUUCUAUCACAAAGCCAUCUGGCUGUUGCAUAUAGAUUUCCUCAUUUAGCUCUCCAUUCAGGAAAGCCGUCUUAACGUCCAUUUGAUGAACGAGAAGACCAUGAGAGGCCGCCAGUGAGAGUAGUAUUCGAAUGGUGGUCAGUCUAGCCACAGGUGAAUAAGUAUCGAAGAAAUCUUCUUCUUCUUUCUGGGCAUAGCCCUUGGCCACAAGCCUAGCCUUGUACUUUCCAAUCGUACCAUCGGGCCUAAGCUUCUUUUUGAACACCCACUUGCAUCCCAAUGGUUUGCAACCAUAGGGACGAUCAGUGAUUUCCCAUGUCCCGUUAGCCAUGAUGGAAUCCAUCUCGCUACGGACCGCAGCUUUCCAGUAAUCAGCAUCUGGAGAAGCAUACGCUUCUGAAAUAGAAGUGGGAUUAUCAUCCACGAGGUAUACGAAGAAAUCAUCACCAAAGGUCUUUGCAGUCCUUUGUCUCUUGCCCCUACCACGGGCUUCCUCGUUAUCCUCCUCAGGAUUUUCAUCAUGUGUUUGUUCAUAGUAUUCCAUAGGAAUGGCAGGCUCAGGAGUUACCUCCGAUUCCUGUUUAGAAGUGCUUUGCAUAUCUCUCAUGGGAAAUAUAUCCUCAAAGAAUGUAGCAUCCCUCGACUCCAUUAUUGUACCGACCUUCACGUCAGGUACCUCAGAUUUCACUACUAGAAAUCUAUAGCCUACGCUAUUCUUAGCGUAUCCCAAAUUAACGCAGUCCACAGUCUUUGGUCCAAGCUUACGCUUCUUGGGGAUCGGUACAUUGACUUUCGCCAAGCAGCCCCAAGUACGUAAGUACGAGAGCGUCNNNNNNNNNNNNNNNNNNNNNNNNNNNNNNNNNNNNNNNNNNNNNNNNNNNNNNNNNNNNNNNNNNNNNNNNNNNNNNNNNNNNNNNNNNNNNNNNNNNNNNNNNNNNNNNNNNNNNNNNNNNNNNNNNNNNNNNNNNNNNNNNNNNNNNNNNNCACUCCUCGUAGGGAGUGACCUCAUUAUCUUUUGUAGGAACUUUAUUCAGGACAUGACACGCGGUCAAUAUAGCCUCCCCCCACCAUGCCUUGGAUAAACCCGAUGUAUCUAACAUGGCGUUAACCAAAUCAGUUAGAGUACGGUUUUUCCGCUCGGCAACCCCGUUUGACUGGGGUGAAUAGGGAGGCGUCCUCUCAUGAAUAAUGUCGUGUUCCGCACAAAAUGAAUCAAAUUCGUUUGAGAAGUACUCUCCACCACGAUCAGAACGGACUCGUUUAAUUUUCUUUUCAAGUUGAUUCUCAACUUCUGCCUUAUAGAUUUUAAAGUAGUGUAGAGCCUCAUCUUUAGUAUUUAACAGAUACACAUAGCAAAAUCUAGUGGAAUCAUCUAUCAAUGUCAUGAAGUAUUUCUUUCCACCUUUAGUCAACACACCAUUCAUCUCACAAAGAUCAGAAUGUAUGAGUUCUAAUGGUGCCAAGUGUCUCUCCUCUGCAGCCUUGUGAGGCUUGCGAGGUUGCUUUGCUUGCACACACGAAUGGCACUUAGAACCUUUGGCUAAAGUGAAAGUUGGGAUUAAAUUCAGUUUGGCUAGCCGCGACAUAACACCGAAACUUAUGUGACAAAGACGUGAAUGCCAACCUUCAGAUUCAUUAGCACUCGAAUGAAUAUUGUUCACGACUUUAUUACAAAAAUCUGCAAGAGAAAGGCAGAACAGACCUCCGCAUUCAUAACCUUUUCCAACGAAAAGUCCAUAUUUCGUAACUACUACUUUAUUAGACUCGAAUACCAACUUAAACCCUUCUCUACACAGAAGGGAGCCACUAACGAGAUUCUUCUUGAUGGCGGGGACAUGCUGCACGUUCUUCAGCUGCACGAUCCUUCCCGAAGUAAACUUCAGAUCGACCGUGCCAACACCAAGAACAGAAGCACUCGCGCCAUUCCCCAUCAAUACGGACCCGCGACCGGUGGCCUGAUAAGAAGAGAACAAUGAUAAGUCAGCACACACAUGAAUAUUUGCACCCGUGUCCACCCACCAAUCGGUGGACUGACAAACUGUAAAUACAGUAAGUAAAUUACCGUACCCAGAUGCACCACGUUCAUUGUUGCCCAUGAUCAUAUUGGCAGACUUGGAGUCCUGCGCCGGCUUCUUGUACUUGUUUGGGCAUUUGUUCGCCCAAUGUUCCUCUGAACCAUAAGUAUAGCAGCCAUCUCCCUUCUUAUUCUUCUUGAAGGGCUUCUUUCCCUUCUUCUUGAAGUCGGUAUUCUGUUGGACAUAAUUCUUUCCCUUGGGCUUGUGGGAAUUGAAGUUCCUCUGAUGUACCAUAUUGGCAGCAGAAGAGCUUUCCACCGCUUUUCCAUUGGAGUCCUUUGCUCUCGAGUUCUGCUCAACACUCAGAUGGCCGAUGAUGUCCUCUACUGAGAACUCACGCCUCUGAUGUUUCAGAGUAGUAGCAAAGUUCCUCCAGGAAUUAGGGAGCUUAGCAAUUAUACAGCCCGCGACAAACUUGCCCGGCAAAUUGCACUUAAGAACCUCAAGUUACUUAGCUAUGCAUAUUAUCUCAUGAGCUUGUUCCAAUACAGAACGGUUGUCAACCAUCUUGUAAUCGUGGAACUGCUCCAUAACAUACAUCUCACUCCCAGCAUCGGUGGCCCUGAAUUUAGAUUUGAGCGCCUCCCACAAGUCCUUGGCAACAUGCAUAUGUAAAUAUGCAUCAACCAGCUUAUCUCCGAUCACGCUAAUGACUGCUCCAAGGAAUAGGACGGUGGCCUCCUUAAACAUCUUCUCCUGUUCAGGAGUGAUAGUUUCCGUAGGAGUGACACCGGCUACCCAGAACACGUUCAUAGCUGUGAGCCAUAAGGUGGUUCUCGUUUGCCAACGCUUAAAAAAAGUACCGAUAAACUUAUCCGGUUUCAGUGCAGCAGCAAAACCAUUACUCGAAAAAUUCCUACAAACAUUAGGUUUUUGGAUUGUUGAGUUAAUAGGCAAUUUUCCGAGCAGAUUAAUGCAUGAAAUAAUUACUAACAUGGCAUUGACUAGGUUCAUGACAUACUGAUCACGGAGUAUACUAGCAAGUACUACGCAUAUAGGCAUAUAGGCAGUACUACUAGUGCAGACAAAAACAGGAGAGAGGCAAACACAUCAUACCCAAAAACCUAAUCGCCCCUCUCCCGUACAGGAACCGGAGAGGCGAGGUUUCGGAGGCCUGCUCUCCCAUCGAGCAUGUACGCGGUAAACGGAACGGAGUCGGCAGCAGCAGUCAAGGAACGAACGCGUGAGGUAGAUGUGAUGGGCACCUUCUCUUCUCACUCUCCAAUAGCAUGUGGAAGAGAGACCCUUAUAAAGGGGUCCAACUUCUCCUCCACUAGCGGGGUGGGACUAAACUUCCCACCACCUUGUCAUGCCACCAUCUACAUGGGCCCUUGGAGAUUUUUCUGAAAUUUGUCUUAUGGGCCUAAGGCCCAUCUCUAAUUUCAACAGUGCAUUCUUCCGUGGAAUGCUACCUUGAUUAGUUUUGCUUCUGCAUGCCUGUUGCGACGAUGUGGGUGGACCUCUCGAUGCCGCAACUGGAGGAGGAUGUGAUGCAUGUUGUUGGCUGUCGUGGAGUCAUGAGGAUACAGUUACCAAGAUCAAUUGACCUAGUGGAGUGGAGUAGACAAUAAUGCCUGGGUCGAAUAAUCGGACAACCGUGAUCUGCUCAAUCUGGAGUGGUAUUUUGCCUCUUCUGUAUGUACAUGAAUUGAGUGGAAGCAAUGGAUGUCGAAUUUCCAAGUUAGAGUUCAUAUUUAUUUUCCUGCAAGUAUAGCAAAUCUUCCCGCGUGGGUCUGAAGGGGAAAAUCCCCGAUUUUGCAUUUGAUGUACUGAUAUGCAAAGAUAUGAAGUGCUGCAAUUGAUGUAUAUUGGCUGAAAUCUGUCAACUCUGUUUUUUGAGAUUGAUCAUCUUGAGGUUCAGAUCAGUAGCCAAGGCGAGACCUUCAUUGAAAGCCAGUACUUCCAACACUUCUACAUUAAGUUGACCAUUGACCUUCAUAGUUGAAGCCCCCAGAAAAAGACCAAAUUCAGUCCGACAGACAACAACAUAAAAUCCUCUGUCUUCCUUCUUUGAGAGUAUUGCAUCCACCAUAAGUUUGGCAAAACCCUAAGGUGGUGGCUUCCAUGUUCCCUGCCUCCUGCGUGCAUCAGGACUAAUAGAGACAGAACCACCUUUCUUAAUUUUCGCUGUGAUAGACAAGUCAUUUAAAUAUAUCUCUAUCAAACUGAAAGGAUGAAAGUGGGGACUGAAAUUAUUAUUCAUGGCUCGAAAGAUUGGUUUAAGCGUAUGCCUGUGCAGAGACGCGUUGCGUGUUAUUUAUAGGGCAAAGGGAUUACAAGAUAUGGUUGUUAGGUAGUUGUUAGAUUGAUCUCCAAGUAAUAUCUAUACAAGGAGAUAGAGAUCAAUCUAAACCACCUAACUACCAGAGAUACAAAACACAUGCAGUCCCUUAUCUACUCAUGUAUACGCUUUAUAUACACACCAUAUACAUGUUACAAUAUAUAUAUUUUAACACACCCCCUCAAUCAUAACUUCACCCAGUUGAGAUUGUACUUGAAUUCUUCCUAUUUUCCAAGACAAGGCUUUGGUGAAUCCAUCUGCUACCUGGUCAUUAGUGGGGAUGAACCAGAUGUCAAGCAGCUUUUUUGCUACUCUUUCACGUACAAAAUGAUAGUCAACCUCAAUAUGUUUUGUCCUUGCAUGAAAUACUGGAUUUGCUGAAAGGUAUGUAGCACCAAUACUAUCACACCAAAGUCGUGCAACCGAAGAAUGACUUAUGCCAAGUUCAUCAAGUAAGACUUGAACCCAAAUCAAUUUAGCUGUGACAUUUGAUAAUGCUUUAUACUCAGCUUCAGUACUUAAUCUUGACACAGUUGCUUGCUUGCGUGCACUCCAAGAUAUAAGAUUUGGUCCAAAGAAAACAGCAAAGCCACCUGUGGACCUUCUGUCACCAGGUAAACCUGCCCAAUCAACAUCUGAAAAGGCACUUACCAUAGUUGAGGUUGAUCUUGUGAAUUUUAACCUUGUACUCAUGGUACCUCUGAGAUAUCUCAGAAUUCUCUUAACAACAGUCCAAUGCUGAAAAGUGAGAGCAUGCAAGAAUUGACAUACUUUGUUUACUGGAAAACAUAUGUCAGGUCGUGUAAGGGUUAAAUAUUGUAAAGCACCUACUACACUUCUGUAUUUUGUGGCUCCUUGGGCUCCCAAGAGUUCACCUUCUUAUUUAGACAAUUUUCCAGUACUGGAUAGAGGCAUGUUUGAGACUUUGCAACUCAUCAUACCAGUCUUUUUUGGUAUAUCUGAUACAUAUUUUUCUUGGCUAAGAAGUAUACCAUUUCUUACCUUCUUUAUCUCUAUUCCCAAGAAGUAAUGUAAGUCACCAAGAUCUUUUAGAGCAAAAUAUUUUUGCAUAUCCUCUAGCAAUGCAUUUGUUGCCUCCUGUGAUGAACUUGUGACAAUAAUAUCAUCAACAUAUACCAACAUAAAAAUGAUUACAUUGCCUUUCAUGUAGAAGAAGAGUGAAGUGUCAUCUUUAGAUGACUGAAAACCAAGCCUCGUAAGCUUUGUACUGAGCCUAGAGUACCAUGCUCUAGGUGCUUGUUUCAAACCAUACAAUGUCUUAUCAAGCUUGCGUACAUAAUGAUGUUUGCCUUUUACCUCAUACCCAGGUGGCUUUCUCAUGUACACUUCUUCCUCUAGAACGCCAUGAAGAAACGCAUUCUGCACAUCCAAUUGACAAAGACUCCAAUUGUUCGAUACUGCAAUAGAGAGAACAAGUCUGAUAGUAGCUGCUUUCACAACAGGACUAAAAUUGUCCUCAUAGUCUAUGCCAUAUCUUUGUUUAAAUCCUUUAGCUACUAAUCUAGCCUUGUACCUAUCUAUCUCUCAAUUUGCUUUCUUUUUUAUUCUGUAAACCUAUUUGCAAUCAAUAAUGUUUUACCUCUUGUGGGAGUAACUACAUGCCAUGUUUUAUUUCUUAUAAGAGCUUUAUAUUCCUCAUCCAUUGCAUUUUUCCAAUCCUUAUUUUCAAAGGCUUAAACUAAAUUCGCAUGCUCACCCGUGACAGCUAGACCUCCAAAACGACCUUUGUCAUAACUGAUCAUACCAUCCAUACGAACUUUUGGCAUAGAAAUGUCGUGUUGUGAUCUUGUUCCUUGCGUUGGUGCAGGACCUGCUACAGGAGGUUGCCGCACACACGAUCCCGAGGAAUCCUGGGCAGCAUGUAGAUCAGCGAUCGAUGCCCCCAGAUCGCUCUGCACCGGCUGUUGAGCCACUUGGCGCGUUCCAACUGGUGAAACUGACCGUUGAUCCCGGCGCAUAGCCGCGAUGGCCUUUUGGGCCCGGUAAUCAUUGUCGUUGCUGCGUCCACGAGGCCACAAGGGGACACGUGCUGGUCUGAUGAUGGCCCGCCUGAUCCAACACCGCUGAAUGGCGUGACAGGCAAGGAUGGCGCGACAGGCGAUGAUGGAUCCUCUUCGGAAUCGCUGCCAUCAGCACCUAGCCCAGCACCUGAAUCAUCCUCGUGUUCCGAGUUUGUCCCUUGCUGCAUAAAAUCAUGAUGCAAAACCGGAUUUCCUCCAAAAAUUGAUAGCAGGAUUUUCAUGAAAAUUACCCGAAGGAUCAUUAGCUACAUGUUCGUCCCCAUGAGCAAGAGGGUUAGAAUUUUUUGAAAGAAGAAGAACUUCAGAUCGUAAGGUGGCUCCCGUGUUUGGAUUUAGUUGAGCAAAAGGAAAAAUUGUUUCAUCAAAUACAACAUUUCGCGAGAUGUAGACACAACCAGCAGCGGCAUCAAGGCAAUUAAAUCCCUUGUGAAGAUUGCUAUAUCCAAGAAAAACACACUGCUUAGAUCUAAACUCGAGCUUGCGAGCGUUAAAAGGACGGAGAUUAGGCCAACACACACAGCCGGAAGUGCGAAGAGCAUGAUAGUUUGGUAGUUGAUGAAACAAUUUUUCUCAUGGAGUCGAAAGGUUGAUCACCUUACUCGGAGCGAGAUUGAUCAAGUAUGUAGCAGCAAAAAAGGCCUCAUCCCAAAUUUUUAAGAGCAUGGAGGCAUGAGCGAGAAGGGAAAGACCAACCUCGACAAUGUGACGGUGUUUUCUUUCAGCGGAGUCGUUUUGCUGAUGAGCAUGUGGGUAAGAGACGUGGUGUGUGAUGCCUAUUUGGUGGAAAAAGGAGUUUAAUCGUUCAUAUUCGCCACCUUAAUCAGUUUGCAUGGUGAUGAUUUGAAGAUCAAAAAGUCUCUCAACUAGUGCUUGAAAUUCAUGAAACACUUGAAAUACUUCAGAUCUGUGUUUGAGAAUAUAUAUCCAAGAAAAUUUGCUGAAAUCAUCAAUGAAACCGACAUAGUAAUUCUUUUUAUUGAUAGAAUUACGGGUAGACCCCCAUACAUCAGAGAAAAUAAGCUCUAAAGGAGCAUUGGAAACACUACUAGAGUUUGGAUAGGGAAGUUAAUGGCUCUUGCCUUUUUGACAAGCACAACACACUCCCGCUUUAUUCAACUCAGUGUUUGAAAAGGGAAAUUUAUUUUGCCCAAGAACAUGUUGAACGAUUUGCAAAGACGAAUGACCUAAUCGAUUGUGCCACCUUGAUGGAGAAAUCUUGGUGGCGCCAAAAGUUUGCCUGCCGGGGCUCAACGAAGCUGAUGCAAGGGGAUAAAGACCGGUCUACACCUGCCUUGGAGGAGGAUGUUCCUCGUUGCCUUAUCCUUGAUAAAGAAAAGUUGAGGGUGAGUUUAAAGAAAUAUGUGAUUAUCAUGGAAUAAUCGGUGGGCGGAAACAAGAUUUUUUUGUAGCAUCAGGUGAGUAAAGGACAUCUUUGAGAAGAAGAUUACGAGUGGCAGUUCGAACAUUAGCCUGACCAAUAUGAGUAAUUUUCAUACCUGAUCCGUUUGGCAUGUUCACUUGAUCAUGCCCAUUGUACCUCUCCCGCAUGGUGAGUUUGUCGUGCUCUCCGAUGAUGUGGUCAGUGGCUCCGGUGUCGACGUACCAGUUAGUGUCGACGCCAUAGGACGGAUAGGCGAUGGCGUUGGCACUUUUCUCCUUGGUGAAAGCAAUGUCAAAGCGUCUGUAGCACUCGAUGGCGAUGUGGUUUGGCCUCUUGCAGAUCUGACAGAAGACCUCCGGGAGCUCAUCACGUUCACCACCCCAUUGCCACGGCCUUGGCCGCCAUUGUCGUCCUUGUCGACGAGCUUGGGUGUUGGUUCCUCCCUCUAAGGGUUGAGGUAGGAGACCAGCUGGGCGCCACGAAUGAUGGCCAUGGCUUGCGCACACCAGACGUUGAAGUUGGAGCGGUGAAGCUUUUCAGCGAUGGGGAUGACGACGGGUGCAUCGGCAGCGGUGGAGCUUGAGGAAGACAUGGCGGCGCAAGAGGGAUGUGCUAUAGAGGAACUAGGCUCUAAAUACCAUGUAAAGAUUGAUUUAAGCGUAUGACUCUGCAGGGACGCGCUGCGUGUUAUUUAUAGGGCAAAAGGAUUACAAGAUAUGGUUGUUAGGUAGUUGUUAGACUGAUCUCCAAGUAAUAUCUAUACAAGGAGAUANNNNNNNNNNNNNNNNNNNNNNNNNNNNNNNNNNNNNNNNNNNNNNNNNNNNNNNNNNNNNNNNNNNNNNNNNNNNNNNNNNNNNNNNNNNNNNNNNNNNNNNNNNNNNNNNNNNNNNNNNNNNNNNNNNNNNNNNNNNNNNNNNNNNNNNNNNNNNNNNNNNNNNNNNNNNNNNNNNNNNNNNNNNNNNNNNNNNNNNNNNNNNNNNNNNNNNNNNNNNNNNNNNNNNNNNNNNNNNNCAUGUUACAAUAUAUACUUUAACAAUGGCCACAUGGUGACUAACAGCCUCACAAACUCGUCAUCCUUGAUGGAUUCCUUGAAUUCGAUCAACCACAUACGUGCGUCCAUGUUCCUGCAAACAAUGAUGUGUNNNNNNNNNNNNNNNNNNNNNNNNNNNNNNNNNNNNNNNNNNNNNNNNNNNNNNNNNNNNNNNNNNNNNNNNNNNNNNNNNNNNNNNNNNNNNNNNNNNNNNNNNNNNNNNNNNNNNNNNNNNNNNNNNNNNNNNNNNNNNNNNNNNNNNNNNNNNNNNNNNNNNNNNNNNNNNNNNNNNNNNNNNNNNNNNNNNNNNNNNNNNNNNNNNNNNNNNNNNNNNNNNNNNNNNNNNNNNNNNGCCCCCCCAAACGACGUGAAAUAGCAUCAUCCGAGGGCGUGCCGGCGAAAAAAACACAUAUGCUAUUCAUGAUGGUUUGAAAUAUUGUUAUUCAUCAUCAAUAUACUGCACCAAGCCAGUGCGAGUUAGCAAAGGAAAGACAACUAUGCUAUUCAUAAUGGUUUGAAAUGGAGACAAUGCCAAAAAAACACCUCGUUUUGUGCAAAAUUAGAAUCAAAGUGUGGACUGAUUUGCUCCUUUUCUUUAGGCUGAGAAGCUAACAUCAUCUUGUUCAUCUCUAGGAUUUCGUUCAUAACUAUGUCCAUUUUCCGAUCGGUGGCUUCCACACGCUCCCUUAAACGUGCAGCCUUUUAUAUAGCUUGUCGACAUUCUUCCUCGGCCAUUUGGAGCUUUGUUGAUUUCAAUUUUCUAGGUCCAGGCAUGCGUAGAUCUGAUGCACUUGGCCCAUGCCUAUACAACGAACAUACCCAUUCCUCUCCUUUCCAAAUAUAUGUUAAAAAAAUCACUUUGCUCUAUGAUUUUUUCUAACAAUUCUGGUUGUUCAUUUGCUUUGUUCUCUAGCUCUUUCUACAAGGAGGAAUCAUGGAAAUAAGCAUCGCUACAAAUGGCUCUGCUACAUGAAAGUACUUACUAUUUAGUACAUACAAUGUUUUGUGAUGCUGUCUUNNNNNNNNNNNNNNNNNNNNNNNNNNNNNNNNNNNNNNNNNNNNNNNNNNNNNNNNNNNNNNNNNNNNNNNNNNNNNNNNNNNNNNNNNNNNNNNNNNNNNNNNNNNNNNNNNNNNNNUUUGUGAUGCUGUCUUGGAAGGAACUCCUUUUUUACUUGUGUGUGUUGUAACAAACGCUUCAUCUCUACGUGGGGGAUAUCCAUUCUUCUUGUGCUACAUUCAAUUUAUUAUUCUAUGAGCCAACACAUAUUUGUGAUGCUGUCUUGGAAGGAAAUCCUUUUGUGCAAGUGUCGAGAUUUAUAGAUGAUAAUAUUACCGUAUGCGUCCAUCUUCUUUUUAAAGAUCCAUUUAUUCUGAAAAAGGUAAAAUGCCUAAAAAUAGAACUACCUACCAUGUUGUGUCUCUGCAUUAACAUCAUCUUCAUUCUCUUCGAAUGUGCUUGAAGCCAUGUUUUAUUGUCUAAAGUCACAUCAUGUUUUCCAGCCAAAGGCCUACCCAUGUUGUCAAAGAAGGGCAUAGUACUAGGAGUGCUGCUAGGACCACCAAGCUCAUUUGCAUUAAGUCGACUAAAUCUAGUCUCACAGUCUUGUAAAUAACGAGAACAAAAAGUGAGACAUUCAUCAAACACAUAACUCUCUGCAAUUGACCCCUCUGGAUGACUCUUGGUGCGAACAUAUCCUUUUAACCUCAUCAAAAACCUAUACAUGAUUGACAUAACACAUAUGCGCGUAAAAAAUUAAAAAGAAUCUUUUAUGAUACUAAAAAAUAGGUGUAGAAUUUGACCUUUCAACUGGAAACAUGUUGAUGUAUUUUACAAGGACAUAGUAUCUUGUUCCCUGUAGCUGAAUUGGCAAAUGCAAAUUGUAUAAAUUGUUUGACCCCUUCAAUAUACGUUUUUGUGUGCCUACAAUUAUUGAUUUAUAAAAAGAUAACCCUUUGAUAACACUAUAUAAAGUGACAAAUGUGUGCAUGUCAAUGUUGUACCUAGCAUGAUCCAUCCAGCUCUUGUCCAUUACAGAUUGCUUGUACUAAAUUUCGACACUUGCCAACACAAAUCAGUUUUUUUUACAAAACUAAGUAGUGCAUUCAAAUUAUAAUUACAAAAACCAAAGCAACCUUCCAGGUAUUCAAAAUAUAGACAAACAAUACCAUCCAACGAAAUAAACAAAUCAUGAGAUACUCAAAAUAUAGCAAAAGGUUCCACAUAAUGAUAUACGAAAAUCAAGUCUUCAGUAAUUCAUGGCUGCAGCUUGAUACCUUCUUUUCUUGCAAACCUUGAUCUCAAAACUUGUCUUUCAAGAUCAGCUUAGGCCAGUAAGCCUGCAAAGCAUCAAAAUAUAAUUAACAUGGGUGAAGCACAAUCAAUUAUUAGCCAGCAAUUAUCUAUCCAAUAUCUAUUUUGUGUUGGACUAUUCUAUCCAUGUGGUCAUCAUGCAACUCAUCGUACUUAACACUACCUUAGGGAAGGCCUAGGACUUGGUUAACCACAGUAUGGCAUACAUGUUGGUUACAAGCUUUAUUCAAUUUAUGCCAGUUCGGGAUAGGUUUGUGGAGACUGGAGCAGAUACAUUGGAAGCAAUCUGAACAUGACAUCAGAAAUUGAGGCGAACUGCAACUUUACACUCAGAAUGAGAUUUAUUUUGCUCAUAAAUUACACAAGAACAGUGGACUGAAAAUCAAAUUAAAGGAGCACAUAUGUAAAUGAAGCAGACUUUAGCUGGCACUACUUGUGGAUUUUGAUGCAAUUUCACUAACAACACACAUAGAUGAAUCAAAUGUCUGCUAGAUUGAUCUCUUUUCCAAUGGGCCCAACGGCCCAUUGGACCUUGACUCACGCCCUGAUCGGGGGCGUCCAGCCCAAGCAAGGCUGGUGGGCCCCUGUCGCGCAGUGCUGUAUAUAGAGGAGGUGGGAACCAUGGCACAGACUACGAGGUUCGCCGCCGCCACUGGUUCCCCACUCCUAACCCUAAUCUGAUCCAGAGAGUAGCACUGAAGCGAUGGGAAGUCCAUCACCGCCACUACCGGAUCUCUCUCUCCUUCCCCACCGUCAUCCCCAUCUCACGACGGUCGCCGGAGGGAACUCAUCGAGUUCAUCACAAGGUAAUUAAUCUACCACAUCAUCCGAACACAUCUAGCCUAAGAUCCACGGGAUCUAUCAAUGUCCACUAGAUCUGAUUGCAUAUUAAUCCUAAAUGCAUACUCGUAAUGACCAAACGUGAACUGAGAAGUGAGCUCGGGUGCAACAUCUACCUGCAACUCUGGUGUUGUUGCUUCAGUGGACGAACACCAGUUGCGGCAGAGGACAAACCAGAGGAGUAGCAGCAACGCAACAGAAGGCGAGCGGCGCGAAGGUUAGCGACGGCGUGGCAAGGAAGAAGACUGUAGUCUCAGUUGUUGUUUGUAGUGUUUCAUUUUGACGAUGCACUGCAUGUUUGAAUUGAGAAGCAGUAAAAAAAAUUCUUGCAGCUCUUUAUUCCUAUAUCGCUAGUUAGAUUAACCAAAUGGGUUGUGAGUUAGCUCAGCGUCUUAAACUCCAAAUUAUCUUCCAUUUCCUCUCUUUUCUAACUAAUGCAUGAAUAAAAGAUGCAUUUUUUCCUCACAAGUUUUUGCCAUGACUGCAUUGAACAAACACAUGCAUUCGAUUGUACUUAAUUUUCUAUUAUUUGGUUUGGAUAUAUGUAUAUAUUAUCAUCAAACACAUUAAUGACUCGGAACACUAACGACAACUCUUCCACCUUCACCUUUUGAUCUCGAUUUUAUGUACACGACUCAAUUAACAAUAGGAGUAUUACACUAUUCAAUCGUGAGUAAAUAUAUAUACUUUACUACUAAGACAAAGGGAUGACUAAACAUUUAAGAUAUAAAGCCAAUUAACUGAAGAACAUAUAUAGAAUUUUUUGGAAAUUCAUCUGAAAAAUAAAACGAUAGAAAUUUGUUGGUGUGGCCUUUGCCUUGUCGUUCCCUCGUGGUGGUCUCUGCCAUAGUCCACGACAUUGUGGCGUCUACAAAAUAGCACUUGAAUUUAUUUUGUUUGCUUUUAUGUAUAAUGCAUAUGUGCUUGAUGUUGAUUGACUGUGGGUAUGAGCCAUUUGAUUCUUCAAACCAUGUUCUUUUGGGCAUGUUUUCUAAGUUACUUACCCUAAGAAUAUCCUAAAACUAUUUUUUGGUGAUUCAUUAGUGUUCAUUCUAUUACUGGACGAUGACUAGGUAAAGCCUACUGUACGGUCCUCAUUUUUUUGUGAAAAGGGAAUUGAAGCCUUUUAGCAUAUUUUAUUACAAAAAUGUUGAAACAUCUGUUUGAAAAUUCUUCUAGAGCUUUCAGACGGGUUUUCUUCUUCUUCCGGCCCGUUUAAGCGUCCGAACGCCCUCGGUUUUGGAAACCUGCUAGAAAGUUAAUACGGUUUAUUCUGAUUUUAGGAAACUUCAAGAAGGUUUCCUUAACCGCUUUUUCUUUUUUUUUCUGUUUAUUUUUCUUCUUCUUUUUUCUUUUCUCUCCUGCCAUGUUUCUUUUUUCUAUCCUUUUUUAAUUUUCUUUUUAUAUCUUUUAAUUUUCUCAAGUUUAUUUUUUAAGAAAUGUUCACAGUUUUAAAAUUUGUUCAUUUUCUAAUAUUAAAAAUUUAUUCACAUUUAAAAAAUGUCCACGGUUUCAAAAUUUGUUCACAAUUCAAAAACACUUUACGGUAUUAUAUUUUGUUCAAAAUUUUAAAAAUGUUAAGAAUUUUAUAAUUUUGUUCACGAAUUUGAAAAUUGUUCGUGUUUCAAAAAAAAUUCAGAAUUCAAAAAAAAUUAGUGGUCUCUAAUUUAUUCAAAAUUCGAAAAAAAUCAUAAAUUUAUAAUUAUGUUCAUGAAUUUUAAAUAUGUUCAUGUUCCAAAAAUUGUUCACAAUUCAAAAAAUGUUUGUGGUUUUCAAAUCUUGUUCAAAAAAUUUCAAAAAAUGCUUUUGUUUCAAAAAUAAUUGUUCGCAAAUUGGAGAAAUUGUUCAUAAAUUCAAAAAACACGAAUAUAGUUCUUACGGACCAGGCUGCUAGUUGAGUUACGAAUUCCUAGGUCUUAAUGUGGAUAUUUUUUUAUGAAUAUUGUGAAGGUUUAGAUUUUACCGCUUUUGUUGGUUUCUUUAAUAGCCGCAUUGCAUACUUUCAUCAAGAGCUUAUCGGUUGGAGCGGCUAGCACUGUGUGCACAUCAACUCAAUGUCUCGGGUUCCAAACCCAGCUUUAGCGCUCUAAUUUUGGCGUUUUUCCACUUUGUGAAAUGGGUCGUCCCAGCUGAGUCGUGCCAUGAGCGUGCGAGCAACAACCUGCCGCAGGUAGGUAGAGAAAAUCCUAUUUGACUCUCCUUGCGUCAAAUAGGCCGCCCAACGCACAAGGGCGUGACCAACUAGGCCAGCCCAUCUCCCUAUGCUGGCAGCUACAAAAAUUGUUCUCGUAUUGAAAAAAUGUUCCUUUUUUCAUAAAUCGGUGACAGUUUUCAAAAAAUGUUGCUGUUUAUGGAAAAUGUUUCUCUUUUUCCAAAUUUUGUUCACAGAUUGAAAACUUGUUCAAAUUUUGUUCUUAAGAUUCAAAUUUAUUCUCGGUUUCAAAAAAAUUUCUUAACAUUAUAAAAGUGUUCGUGCUUCCAAAUUUGUUCAUGAUUUUUCAAAAUUGUUCUUGGUUUCAAAAUUAGUUCUGAAAAUUCAUACAAUGUGCGUGCUUUAAAAAUUUGUUCGCGCCUAUAAAUUUGUUCGGGGUUUUUCAAAAAAAUUCUCCGUUUUAAUAUUUGUUUUCAAGAUUCAAAAAAAUUUUGUGCUUUAAAAAUUUGUUGGCAGUUCCAUAUUUAUUCGGAGUUUUUCAAAAUUGUUUCUUCGUUUCAAAAUUUUGUCCUCAAGAUUCAAAAAAUGUUCAUGCUUUAAACAUUUGUCCAUGCUUCCAAAAACUUUUCUGAUUUUUCAAAAUUGUUCUCGAUUUAAAACUUCGUUCUCACAAUUCAAAAAUGUUCGUGUUUUAAGAAUUUUUAUGUGCUUUCAAAUAUUAUCGAUGUUUUUCAAAAUGGUCCUCCUUUUAAAAAUUUGCUUCUCAAGAUUCCAAAAAUGUUCGUGGUUUAAAAAAUUGUUCGUGUUUCCUAAUUUGUUCACGCUUUUUGAAAAUUGUUCUCGAUUUCAAGAUUGUACUCAAAGUUUAAAAAAUGUUCGUUCUUUAAAAUAUUGUUCAUGUUUUUCAGAAAUGUUCUCGGUUUUUCAAAAUUAUUUCUCAAAAUUCAAAGAAUGUUCCUACUUUAAAAAUUUGUUCGUGCUUUCAAAUUUGUUCAGGGUUUUCAAAAAAAUUCUCUUUUUUCCAAAUUUUCUCAAGAUUCAAAAAAUGUUCGUGCUUUAUAAAAUUGUCCGUGCUUCCAAAUUUUGUUCUCAAGAUUCAAAAAUUGUCCAUGCUUAUUUUUGUUCUCGUAUUUAGAAAUUAAACAUUUGUUCGUUUUGAUAAAAAAAAGGAAAAAUCGAAAACAGAAAGAAAAAAGAUCCAAAAAAGGAAAAAGAAUAAGCAAAAAAGGAAAAAAGAAACAAUGAAAUUAUCCAAUUUCUUUCGACAAAAAACAAGAGGGGCCGGCCCAGUGAGAGGCCUCCCCGUGGUAGUUUCCGGUAGGUAGGAGCCACAUUUUCUAUUUAGCGCCAUUGACGUUAUUUAACGGGUAUUUUUGUUAACUGGCGCCCGUUCAUAAAUGGGCCACCCAUCGACGCGCCGUUUGGCAUUUGUUUUAAAUAGUAUGAACUUAUUUAAAUAUUGAUGAAAAACAAUAUGUUUCAGAGAAUAUUUUUUAAGAUUUUAAAGCUUUUUGAAUAAAUAUGAACUUCAUGUUUUCCAAAAUGGAUGAACUUUUUAAGAUUUUAUGGAAAAAAACUUCAUUCCAAAGAACUUUUUAAAAAAAUACAUGAACUUUUGUUGAAUUUUUAUGAACUGUUUGCAAAUUUAUUGAACUUUUAAAAAAUUAAUGAACUUUUCCAAUAUGUGAUGAACUUUCUUUCAAAUUGAUGAACUUUUUCAAAAUUGAUGAACCUUUUAAAAAUAUAUAAACUUUUCAUACAAAUGGAUGAACCUUUUUUCUUUAAAUCUGUAAACCUUUUAAAAUUUCAUAUUUUUAUUUUUUAAACCGAAAAGAAAAUUGGGCUUCACUCUAAUGGACCGGCCCAUGCUAGCAGCAUUGCAGGCGCCGGAUCGAUAACGGGCGUCUACAGUGCUGUAUAGGGGAUCCCGAUAGGAGCUUCCCGUAAUUUCAAGCAAUCCCGCCUUCUUGUGUUUUGCGAAGCUGGGCCGGAGCUGCCCGAUAAGAUUACACCGCGGGCUAAUCAUUAUCCAGGAACAGGCCUCAAGGAGCUGGUAUGUUCGGAUGGCUUCUCGUAGCAAUUUUAGGAAUCUGGACCAUGGAGAGCUUCUGAACGGGCCUAAAUUUAUUAAGAAAUGAUUGUAAUCAGUCGGCCGAGCACGUGUAAAGUUUCAUCGCCAUGCAAUACUCAGAUCCGAAUUUGAUUUGAUCAUUGGUCGAAUUCCUAUGUCACCUUCCAGUUUUUUUUUGCAACAUCAUCUGUGUUGCAGAAGUCAUUUGCAACAACGCCCAUGUUAUAAAAAUGUAAGAAAAAAAAUCUAUAACAUCAUCUGUGAUGUAGAAGUCCUUUCGCGACAACAAUCAUGUUGCAAAAAGUUAAUACAAAAAAAUACAACAAAAUUUUUGUUGCAAUUUGUAUUGCAACAUGAGGUCUGUUGCAAAUUAUGCAAUAUACCGCUUCUUUUGUAAUAAUAAAGAUAAAAGAGCGUUUGUAGGGCUGGCGGAUCUGUUAGAAAGAUCCGUCGAAAGACGCCUAACACUGUUAGAAAGAUCGGGUUAUCCUUCGACUUGUAUCAAUAAAAGAAACAGCCAUAAGUAAUGGAGGUAUUUUAAUAAACAUCUAGGAGCACGCACCCCGNGUAGCCUUUGCCUUGCAGGACAGCUUAGCUGUGUCCUUGCUUGCUAGCGUCGCAAAAGUAGAAGUGGCCAGACAUGCAUGCCAUACCAUGCCAUGCCCAUUUCAAAAUUAAAAAUCGUACUAGUAGUCCCAUAGAGGAGCCCUCCUUUUACGCCCCCCUACAGAUCCGAGCCCCGCAACCGCAACCAAACGAAGAUCCGCAACACAAAGAGGUGCGCCUCGUACCGUCUGGUCCACCGGUGCCUGCGCUCGCAUCGCACGUGUUAUUAGUAACAAUAAUAAGUACGAGUACUAGUACUACUUUGGGAGGGAGUGAUAAGUAAACACACUCCUUAACCACGGCAUGGCACGGGGUAGCACGUUGACCUAGAGUGGCCCGGGUCAACGGCAACCUUCCAGGCGACAAAUCCUUCAUUCACCUUCCCCUCCAAGUGGAGGAAAUAAAUUUGGUGCCACGCGGAGGACGGGCACGGGGCUUGUCGCCAUGUGAGUGCUCGUGCUCGGCCCCGUCCAUUGCAACCUACUCCCCUGCCAAUCCCAUUCAAUGGAGUUGGCAUUGCGCAUCGGGCCGCCCCAUGACACCGGCGGAUCACNNNNNNNNNNNNNNNNNNNNNNNNNNNNNNNNNNNNNNNNNNNNNNNNNNNNNNNNNNNNNNNNNNNNNNNNNNNNNNNNNNNNNNNNNNNNNNNNNNNNNNNNNNNNNNNNNNNNNNNNNNNNNNNNNNNNNNNNNNNNNNNNNNNNNNNNNNNNNNNNNNNNNNNNNNNNNNNNNNNNNNNNNNNNNNNNNNNNNNNNNNNNNNNNNNNNNNNNNNNNNNNNNNNNNNNNNNNNNNNNNNNNNNNNNNNNNNNNNNNNNNNNNNNNNNNNNNNNNNNNNNNNNNNNNNNNNNNNNNNNNNNNNNNNNNNNNNNNNNNNNNNNNNNNNNNNNNNNNNNNNNNNNNNNNNNNNNNNNNNNNNNNNNNNNNNNNNNNNNNNNNNNNNNNNNNNNNNNNNNNNNNNNNNNNNNNNNNNNNNNNNNNNNNNNNNNNNNNNNNNNNNNNNNNNNNNNNNNNNNAGUACAUGGCAUGGCCAGCCGGGGUGCGUGCUCCUAGAUGGCCAGAUUAUGAUAAAGUUAUGAUUUUUAUAAUCUAUUAUGUCUCCAAACAGAACAGAUUAUAUUGUAGUUUAUAAAAACUAGAUGGCCAGAUUAUUAAAAACUCAUAAUCUACUCUACCCCAGCUAAAAUCAGAUUAUGGAUUACUAAUUACCCAUUACCCUUGGAAACUUGGAGAUAAUUACCUACUGCCACCGUCACCGUCCUCCAAACAUGACUACCCUAGAUUAUUACCUUUGCAGCUAAAAAACAGAGGGCAGACAUGUCAUUGUAUAAUAUAAAUCUGGAUUACAGUUUAUAUAAUCUGGCCUCCAAACAUGUCCACCUAGAUUAUUUUUAUAAACCAGAUUAUAUAAUCUAUCUUCAUAAUCCAGAUUAUUAUAAUCUAUUAUGGUUCCAAACAGGGCCUAAAAGGGUCAGACCACCAGAUCAAACAUUUGUAGGGCUGGCGGGUCUGUUAGAAAGAUCCGUCGAAAGACGCCUAACACUGUUAGAAAGAUGAGGUUAUCCUUCGACUUGUAUCAAUAAAAGAAACAUCAAUUAGUAAUGGAGGUAUUUUAAUAUUUUAUACUCCUCAAAAUGUUAAAUAUGAUUAUUUGGAAAUGCUGAAUAGAAAGAAAGAAAUUACUAAUAGGACGAGGAGGGGGAAUAUAUAUGAGCCUGUUUGGGACUGCUCUGCUUCAGAAAAUUCAGCUCCGCUCUAGAAAACGUAAGCCAAACGGGUAGCUCCACGAUAUACCGCUCCGCAAAAAAACUAGAAUCUGGGUCCAAUUCCUUGUUUUUUGUGAAGCUCCCUAGGAGGUGCUCCAUAAAAUUAUAGAAGCUGGAGUUGGAACAAAAUUACCCACCACUGCCACCAGUAAGUGGAUACCCCUUCGUUUCUUACCUCUCAUCCAACCAAAUAGAUCCUUUUCACCAAAUUUUCCAUCCGUGAAGCUGGAGCUAAAUGAGAGCCAAACAUUCUCUUGAAAUGGUUGCAACUUCUAUAUGAAACUGCUCUAAAGUGGAUUUGAUGAAGCGGAGCUGGUUUUGAUGGAGUGAAGCAGUCCUAAACAGGCCCAUAGUCUCCUGGAUCGAAUUUGGCCCAUCAGCCACGGCACCUUUCCGUUUUGCAAAGUUCGCAUGGAGUUGAGAUCGGGGCGUCGAUCGCCUCCAUGCUCCAUUUCUUGCGGCAACCAGGCGGCGGCGGACCGGACCUCAUCAGCGCCUUCCCCGUCGACCUGCUCCUCCUCGUCCUCGCCCGCCUCCCCUGCGCGCACCGGGGUCCUCUCUCCUGCUCAACUUACUGCUAGCUCCGAGUAAGCAAAAUUUUGUUACUUCUGACAAAUUGUUUCUCCAGGACUUGUCUGUUUAUCAGGAUGAGGCGGAUACCUUUAAGCAGGAGAUAGAGAAGCAUUUGGUUGCUGCCUUCUCCGUUAUGGAGCUACAUCUCACGACAGAGGCGCAUGCUUUCGGGUCAUUGGUGUUUGAGCUCUUUGGGAUAGAUCGAAUUCUUACUGAUGUGCGGAGGCUUAAGGUUGUCCUAUCAAGAACGGUAAUUCUCAUCUCUGAUUAAUUACUUAUCUCAACGAUACAUACAUUGGGUAGGGAUUGACAUUUGUUUUUGGUUUUAGAUGGAGGAAGCUAGGAUGCGUACCAGAUUAUUGUCCAUGCGAGCCCACAGGCUGGAGAUCCCAAACUAUCUCCUUGACUGCUCUCGAAGAAGUGGAGAUCAAUGGCUUCGAAGGAGAGGAUCAUGAGUUUGAUUUUUUGAAACUGAUAGUUAGAUGUGCACCAAUGCUUAAUAGAAUGAUGCUGAAGUUGUCACGCGAGGCCUCCGCAAACAAUGAUGUGUGCGCGAAGAUAUACAACAUCUUCAGGGCUUAUUCUUCUGUGAAAUGUUGUGUCCACCAUAGAUCUGGUGAGUAUAUGUUUCGCAUGCAUGGUUAGCAUGCUCCUAGAUGAAACAAAGAUAUAACUGUUGCCCUUUGUAAGAUUUGUCGAAAAUGUGGAACUGACAUGCCAACUAGAGAGUUUGCUUUGUGCAUGUAUCCCAUUUAUUACCUAUUUGAACAUGCUAUAUUUCUAUCAAAUUUUUGUGAGCAUACUUUUAUAGAUAUAAGCUGAAUGGUGGACUGGGUGAUAAGAGAAUUUUAAUAUUUUUAUGCAGGCAUACUUUUGCAUUUUGCAAUCUUCUCUAAUAUGCACACCCUUAUGUUUCGCAUAUGUAAGAUUUUCUAAGUUAGCUGGAUAGAGUUUAACUGAAAAUAUUGAUUUGUGCACAACCCCAAGGUGUUGCUCCUGGAGUCCCGGGUCUAGAAAAGCCCCUCUCUCUUAUGGACGCCAUGAAUAAAGCACUUGUCAUUGUCUCCUUUGGGAGAAACAUCACAGAUCAGGACUGAACCAUUUUCGUGGUUUAGCCUGGUAAAUAAAAAACAUAUUAUUUCCAAGUUUUAGCAUCAAAGAACAUGAGCAACACAAGGUACAUGUUACUAUUGGACAUAAUAAUACAUAGAGGAUAGGGCACUUACAUUCUUAUUCAGUGACUGUUACACCUUACUCGAGGGGACUAGUUAAACUCACACAUCUUCUUUUAACUAACUGACUCACAGCCAACACACAUCUUUUAACUAACUGACUCACAGCCGACACACAGAUGAACUGACACAUGAACACUCCCAUUGACUCACACAACUGACCAUUAUUAUGUAGCUGAAAAAUUCAAGAACACCAUACAGGACAAGCAACUCAGGAUAAUGACCACAAGGACUAACCGUAGCCCCCUCCUCCAAACACAGAUUUAGAUGGAGAGAGGGAGACCUGGAAGAAAGGCGUAGCC
rnacentral:lncRNA from 1 species